AGAAAAUCUUUGAUAAUUUCUUUCAGCUCGGUGGUAGUCAUGGACUCGAUCGAUUGCGGGACUGGUUUCUUCCCUGCCUCGUGUAACUGCCGAAUCAAGUCUUUCAGGAGGUACUGAAAGUCACAUGUUUGAGAGACAGUUACCCAAGCACGAACUGGGAAAUGCCUUCUGACUUCAAGAUCCUCAUGGACUCUUUUCACUAGGGUAGUUUUGCCAAGUCCUCCCAUACCAACCACUGAAACAACUUUCAGUUGGUGAUCAUCCCCUUGGAGGAGCUGAGAAAUUAGAUGUUUCUUGGGCUGGUCAAUGCCAACUAAUUUAUCUUCUUCCACAAGCAGGGCAUCAUCUCUGCUAUAGCGCCAUGUUGUGUUGUUCACAGCAGAAAGUGAGUUGGACGCUUGGGCAGAGAUACCAUAUUCGGAUUGGUACCUUUGAUGACCUGCAGAAAUACUUUCGAUUCUGGACUUGAUGCUUUGUAUUUCGCUGGCAACUCGAUGACGAGCUCUCAAAUUCUUGAUGGAGCUGAAAAUUCUCCGAACAAAGCCGUAGAAUCCUGUUGGGAGAUGCCGAGCAAAGCGAGCUACAAAAUCAUCAAGAAUGUCUUCAGUGUCAUAAGCAGCCUCUCGCACUUGCUUGAUCCAUUCUUGGAGCCUGGGUUGAGCAUCUUCUUCUUUUGCUUCUGCCUCUCUCAGGAAAGCUGUCAUGUGCCCCAACUCGUCCCUGAUGAAUUGGACCUCUUGCCGAAGCCCACCCAACAGUCGUCCCUCCUCGCGCAGAAAAGUUGAGAGUUGAUGCAGCACAAAAGAGAGAACUGUUUCUGCCAUUUUCAGUCUUUCUCUUUAACUUAAGAAUGUCGGGGAAGGCGGCUUCUGGUUUAUAGGUCAGUCCACUUGUUGUAUCUUGAAAGGAAGAAGGAAGAGUAGGCUACAGAUUCAUAAGCUGAUGAACUUCGAUGCUAUAUGGUGCAGUAUUUAUCAAAAAGAAAAAGAAAGAAUUAACCAAUUAGAAGAAACUAAAGCAAGAAACAUGAUUGUGAAAAACGAAGCUGCCUUACCUGCCGCAAUAUAAAAUCAUGGAAGCUAUUAAGAAGACUGUGUUUGCUGGGAUAAAGAUAAAGGAGCAUCUAUUCCUCUUUCAACUGUGGGUUCUUUACAAGUAGAAGGAAUAAAAAGUUAAAACGCUGUUGGACUGGACAUUAUUGAUUUCUUUGACGAGGAAAUAAAACUACUGCAAAAUGUUUUGCCCCUUCUGCUAACAUGUAUAACCUUCCUUCCUCUAUGGAACUAAUUUCUGCUGGCAUUUUGCUCUACACUAGUGCAAUUAUUUAUUCGUGCCAAACAUAUUCCUAAAGUGUGGUAUCUCAAAACAAUCAAUUAACAAAGGGAAUCCAUUGAGUAUCACUUGAAUUUUUUAGUCUCAUCCCAUUAUUUGUGCGUCAACUAUUAUUUGAGAAUCUGAUAUCUCUUUUGAUUGGGAAUUGAAAAAUAAAAUGUCAUGUAAGUCUAAAAACUAACCUAAUAUGUCUAAUAAUUUUUUAUACGACCUAAAACUGUAUUAGUUUGAAAAAUAACUUUAUUUUUCAAUUAUUGUAAAUGAUUUCGGAGGACAAAUUUUUUGUAAACUUUAAUCCUAAUUACUUAAUGACAUUUGUAUCUCUAUAUCCACAUUAAAACGUACACGUAAACUAUGUAAAUACAUUUUUUUUUAUGUUCAAAUAAAUUAUCUAGACAUAGACUAAUUCAAAUAUUGGAGUAGAGGUGCUCUUUUUUUCUUUUACUCUAGUAAGCAUAUUAUUUUCGGCACCACAGUAACCAAGUUAGUGUUAGCCCCUUGUGAUCACCAAUUUAAUCUAUUAUCUCACUUCUUUCUUUCUUUUGUUUUUUCUAUCCCUCCUUUUGCAGUUGUGGAAUUACUGCAUCUAGGACUAGAUAGGACGAAAGGCCGCUCAUUUUACCAAUUAGAAACGUGGCUAUGUUCAUAAAAAAGAAAAAAAAAAGCCUUGAACUUCAAGAAAAGUAAACAAAUCUCAGCACUUACUUGAGAGAAAAUGAAACCUCUGGCAAUAGCUGAUCUGAACCUCCUGUCAAAUCCAAGUUUGAUGAAAAAGAGAACACGGGCUAGGAAGAUGAUAAUUUGAAUCAAAAUUAAAACAAUGCUGUAUGUGCAAGGCCUUUAGCUAGGAAGAUGGAGUAUUAUAGAGGAGCAGUACCGUUAUUGAUAAGAAAGUGGAGUGAAAUUGGCCGUGACUUUCCUGGUUGGAUACUAGUAGAACAAUUACUCUACGUGGUGGACCUAAUAAGAAUGUGGAUCUCAUCCAUUGGCUGUCAGAGUGACACAUGGCAAUAAAAUCGAGACUUAAAUGAUAUGGGGUUAGAGUCCCUUGUUAGGUGAUAUGAGAAAUGAGUAGUUUAGUCAUUUCACGAAAUAUUAAUUGUAUUCAAGUUAAGAUGGAUAGUGCUUAAUUUUCCAUUUAUGAAUUAUGUCAAAGUUACACAAUUCUUUUGAAUUUCCAAAUUUUCCACUUCCACGUCGAGAGUUUUCCAAUCAUUUCUAUUUAGAAUUCUAAUUUUGCAACUUCACUACAUAGGUCCAGAUUUACUUUGAAAAAUUUUAUGUCGAUUCAGAUCAAUUGCUUGCAUGCCUAAUAGUUGGUUAACACAUCUAAAAUUCAUCUAACAUAUUUGUGCUCUUAUGGUACAUAAUAGCAAAAGCCUUAAUUUUAUUUGUCUGUGAACAUUAGGCUGUUGGCCGGCUGGUAUAUCAAUUUGAUUAAUCGAAUUAUAGUCUUGCUGGCUUGUCCUUCCAACCCACGAUGUGCUCAUAAAAUGUUGGACGUGAAGAAAGAAGUGGAAUUGAAAAUAUUGGAGAUGGCUAAAAUUGAAUGUUCAGCACAAGACAAUUGAGGUAAACCCUUAACCACGUAGCCAAAUCCGAUCACCACCAUCUUAUCAUGUCUAAUUUUUCUUUUUGUUUAUUGCAAUGAGUAAAAAAAAAAAAAAGAUACACUCGAAUACGUCAAAUCAUAAUUUCGUGUUUCUAUUUUUCUUCUUUGCUUCUUUGUAAAAUGAAUGACUUUGGAUCACCAGUGUAAUCUUUCAUCUCAGUUCUUUUUCUCCAGCUGUGAAAUUAUUACAACUAAGACUAGGUUAGGAGUAAGGGACAUGAAGUAACCGGAGGAUAAGGUGCAUCAUAUGAGCCACUAGGGAUGUAAUCGAGUCAAGUCAAACUCGAAUAUUGCUAUACUCGAGCUCGACUCGACUCAUAUAUAUCUAGGCUCGAGCUCGACCGAGUACACAAAAUCGAUAUUCGAAACUUGACUCGAGGAACUCGCUUUAAACUCGAGACUCGACUCGAUAAGACUCGACCUUUAGUCAAGCCUUAUCAAGUCGAGCCUAAUCAAGUUUUUUUACUCGACUCGAACAAUUAUGUUAUUACUUUUUUGCCAUUAUGAACUUUUUUUAUAGAGAAGAGUUUAUUGUAAAUUCUGUAAAACUUAUACCCAUAAUGGUCAUUUUAUAAUUAUAAUACAUAUAUAUUAUUUAAAUUAUAAAUAUAUUAUUUAAAUACCCUCGACUCGACUAGUAGCUCGACAAGUCUCGAGUCUCAAAAUAUUGGCUCGAAACUCGACUCGAAUGACAAUCGAGUAGCUCGAUAUUCGGCUCGAACUCGGUCAACUCGAGUUCAAACCAAACCGUUAACCGAGCUACUCGCGAGCUACUCGAUUGUGACUCGACUCGCGUACAUUCCUAUGAGCCACUCGAACACUGUAUGCUGAAAAAGCAGCUUUGAAACAAAAGAAGAAGCAGAGGCACAAAAUUUUCCUAUGGUUCCUAGAAACAGUAUAAGAAAGAAGAUAGAAAGACAUUAUUGACAUUAUAAAUUCUUGUCAAUUAAUGUUCGUCAUUUUUAUAUGGUAACUUACUGCAGAAAAAUUGUCAAAACCGUGUGAGAAAGUUAAGGACGAAAUACGAAGAAAAUUCUUACUCAUCAAGAAACUGCAGCGAAAAAAAAAUUGUAGAGAUGAUGGAAAUAAGAAGAAACUAACGCAAGAGAGAUGAUGGAAAUUGAAUGGAAAGAAGAUAGUUAGCAACGUGGUUUUGAAAGGCGAAGCUACACUACAAAAUCAUGGAAAUUGUUAGGGAGACAAAUGCAGUUGGUGGGGCGUUCACUCUUCAGCACCUUUCGGCUGUGUUUCUUCGAUCAAAUAAAGGAGUGGCUACCAGUGUACCACAGCAUCGUUCAAAAGCAAUGAUGUCUUAAGCUUAAAACGUGGUGGCUUGGACAUUGAUUUCAUUGACGUAGAAAUAAAGGGAAAAUACAGAUUUAGCCUCUAAUAUUUUGCCUUUCGGCAGUUUUAGUCAUUAAAAUUUUGAAAAAUGCAAAUUUGAUUCUCAAUGUUUAGCACAUGUGCAAUUUUAUCCCUAAAAUAUUGGUAGGAACAAAUUUGGUCCCCUAUGUUAUAGUCUUGAAGCAGAUUUACGAUGAUUGACGAAUUUUUUCAAAUAUUGGUAGAAUCUGCUACGUGUGAUUACAUGCUUGUUAAUUUUAAAUAUCUUAAAAAAGAAGUAAAAUAGUGAGUACUCUUCAAUAAUAAGACCAGUUUACAUGAUGCCAUGCCAGUAACUAAUUAAUCAAGAGAAAAAAAAGAAAUAAAAUUUGUUAAUCUAUAUGAAAAAGUAAAUGUUACGAUUUUGUGCUUGGCAUAGUCAGGAUAGAGUGUAAAAAUGAGUUCUAUAUCGAUGAAUUGGGUGCUUCAACUAAUUUUAGUUAAAAAUUUUCAAUUUUUACUAGUUAAUUAGUUAGCAUAUGAAUUAUCAGUUCUUAAUUUUGGUGUUUAAAGUUAGCUACUAUUUUGCUUCUUUGUUUUGAAAUGUAAUUUAAUGGACACAUAAUUAGACGUGACUAAAUUAUGUUAGUAAUCGAAAAAAAUUCUUCAAAUGUCCUAAAUCUAUUUUAAAAUGGAUAUAUUAGGGACCAGAUUUGCCCUUGCAAAAAUUUUAGGGACCAAAACUACACAAUUAUGUUAUUAAUUAUAUUAUUAAAUAUAAAGAAUUGGAUUAUAACUAAGUUAUUAUAUUGUGUAUAUAUAUGUAUUAUAUAUAUACAUCAAUAAAUUAAAAUAUAUAUAUAUAAUUUUUUUUUUCAUAUGCGGGGGAUGGGGCAUGUAUAUGUAGCCCGGCCCCCAGCUCCGUUUUAAGGUAGGGGAAAAUUUUUUCCCCCCGCCCUAUUUCUACUCUCGCGGGCACCUGUCCUUGUUGCCACCCUUAGCUUUAAGUACCCUUAUUUUAGGGUAAAUUAAACGUAAUCUUCUAUGGUUUCACUCAUUUUUAAGGUAGGGGAAAAUUUUCUCCCCCCGUCCUAUUUCUACUCUCGCGAGCACCUGCCCUUGUUGCCAUCCUUAGCUUUAAGUACCCUUAUUUUAGGGUAAAUUAAACGUAAUCUUCUAUGGUUUCACUCAUUGUCAUAUAACCGCUAAAACAUUACAAAAUAUCUAUUUCACUCCCUUAGGUUCAGUCUAAACUUACGAAAAAUAACUUCUGUAACAUCAUUAUUUCAAAUACUAAUAAUGUCCUUACUUAAAUGAUAAAACGAAUAAAUGUUUAACCACCUUGGAUAGAACUGUAGGGAAAUUAUGCGGAUAAAUGUAAAAAAAUACAAUGAGGUAAAAUGCAUAUUUAUUUAAAUCACAGAGGGUUAAGUGGAUUUUAUGAUUCCAUCACACAAGUUUUUGGGAGCGCAUUUAGUUUAAUCACCUAAUCAAUGGUGCAUUCCUUCCAUUUUCUACUUUACAUAAAAUCACAUAAAGGUUGUAUAACUAUUAUGAAACUUUAGAGGUGUUAUGUGGCAUUGAAGAAAAUUAUAGGGGGAUUAUAUGUAAUUUAUUCUUUUUUACAUGAAUUGUAGGUAUACAGAUUAUUUUAAUGCUUUUUCGACAAAAUGAUAUAGAACUUUUUUUUGGGGGGGGUGGGGUGGGGGAGGGGUCAAAUGAUGUUGUAAUCAAUAGAGAGAAAUUUGAGAGUAUUAGAAACUAGCUUCCUGAAUUUCAAAAAAGAAAGUUAAUUAGAGAUCCUCUCUUCAUAUAUAUUUUUUUAAACUCAAUAGAACUUAAAAUUUGCUAGCGCCACACGUUAAUCAAACAAAUUUCAAAACCAAUCGUUGCUAAACCUUAUCCUCAAUAUUUUAAGAUUUUGUCACGUGUAGAAGUGAAAAUCUUUAGAGAGAAUUGAAUCCAAAUUUUGUGUUUUCUGAUAAUUCCUAGAGAGAACGCAAUGCAGAUUUUCAAUGUAAAAAUAUUUAAGAAAGAGUUAUACACAUUGCAGGUUUAUUAGCACAAAGUAAUUAUACUGGUCAAUGAUGAAUGAUCACGUACGCAAUGUGAAUUGGAACGCUGGCAAAUUUGGAACGGAAAGAACAGAUUGGGAGAUACCUAUCACGUAAAAGGAGUCACACAAUAAACUUGGUGUAGGUCCAACGUUCGCUAUUUUAUCAGACAAGCCAUAUGAAUGUAGGUUUGUACAAGGAGAAGUGAGGAUAAAUUGGGUUUAUGUAUUAUCUCUGACCAAAAUUUAAAAUUGAUUGUCUGCUAAAUCAAUUAUAGAAAAGAUUAAGACAAAAAGAUAAAAGAGUAAUAGUAUGCAGUACAUUAACAACAUCAAGCGUUAUACACAAUACAUACAAUAAAUAAGAAGGUAAGACACAGAAGAUGAUGAACUUCUCACACGGAUGUCGAAGGGGAAAAAAAUUACUAAUAAAAAAUAAAAACAAAAGAAGAGGAAGCAGUGCUGUCCACAAGGGAAGCCACAGUGGCUGCUAGGAAAGAUUAUAUGUUUUCUUCUUCUUCUCUUCCCAUAGCCGGUGCUCUCUCCAUUCCCCAUCAUCUGUAUAGUAACCAAUGAGAAUUUCAGGAAUAUGUGCGAUUCUUGUGUAAUCUUCACUUUCUUCCUUCUGAUUCUCUAACAGCUUCUCUCUCAAUUGAGAACUCAUCUCAUACAGAGACAGCCGUUGAAGAUGGCUCAAGUGCUGAAUACCCAAUGGCAGCUCCUCUAGUAAUGGAAGUAGCCGCAGAAAUAGUAUUUGUAGACGAGGCAAUGCACCCUCCUCCACUCUCAUCCCUCUCAGCCCUUCCAUUCUCUUUAAGUGCAUCCACUUCAACUUUAGAAACCCUCCAGCCUUGAAGCACAACCCUUCUCCCUGGUAAGAUCCACAGAAAUUAAUUUUACUCAAAUUGGGCAAAUGUUGGAGCGAUUCAAGCGGAUCCUCCUCGCCCCUUAACCUGCUCCAAUUCAAAUCUAUUCGUAGCAAGCCGUGAAGAUGAGCUACCCAUUGUGGCAUCUUUUCUAAGCGGCCACGCAAAAUCAGCAUACUAAGAGAUUGAAGAAAAGAAGAAGGAUGAUGAUGAUUUAAAUCGAUUAUCUCAUAAUCAUCACCUUUUCCAAUUGAAGCAACGCUUAAUUGCCGAAGACUGGUUAGGUUGGCAAGGGAGGAGCAGAGCUCCUUUCCAUCUUCUCUUCUUAACUUUGUAAUACGUAGUUCUCUUAAUUGGGUCAGCUUUCCUAUCUCCUUAACUAUUGUGGAUCCACUACUUGCAUCCAUGCAGCUUAAUACUUCUAGGGCAAGAAGCCCUCCCAUAUUCGAGGGAGCUUUAAAUCCAUGAUAUCCAUAAUCAUCAUCGGAAGGAACAACUGGUUGAAAUACUUCGAGAAACCGAAGUUUUUGCAGCUUUAGGAUUUCCAUGGGUAAUUCCCUAACUCUUGUGUCAGCCAAAUUCAGAUACUCCAAAUGUUGAAGCUUUCCAAUGGCUUUUGGGACUCUCUCCACUCUCGUACCCCAUAGGUCCAGAUGCUUGAGAUGAAACAUCUUGAAAAUCUCAUUUGGUAUUUCCUCCUGUGUCUCUUGACCUCUCAAAUCCAAAACCUUUAACAACUUGCUACUCCCUAAAACUUCAGAUAACAACAUUUUGGAUAGUAGCGGGCUUAUGGAUUCAAAUGUAACGAACGACCGAAGGUGGUCAAAGCAAUAAUUUCGUCUUUGUUGGUGGUGCGGGGUGUUGUUACUGCUACCACUAUGGACUACUAGACGGCGUACCUUAUCAGUCGGCCACAUCAUCGGCUGUCCAGUAGUAACUGUCACCAUGUUUUGUUCCCUUGACUUGAGAAGAAUAACUUCUCUUAAUAGGUCAUGGAUUCGACAAUAUUGAGGUAUUCCUUCAAAAAACACCUUAGUCACUUGAAUUAGGCUUCUAUUGACGAGUUCAAUGAGAUAACUCCAAGCUACAAUUGCAAAACUCAUUCCUUCCCUCCGUUCCACAUACCUUUCAGCAAUCCACAAAUGAAUUAGUCUAAUGCAUGCUAUUUCAUAAUCCUCUGGGAAGAUGCUUGUGUACAACAGACAUGUCUUUAAAUGCCCAGGCAAAUCAUUAUAACUGAGAGAGAGUAUCUUUUUAACUCUGUCCAGCUUACCCGUGCCUUCUAAUUCACCCCCAAGGCUGCGUCGAACCAUCUCCCAUUCGUCUAUUCUGUUUACAUCUUUUGAAGCCAAAAGCCCGCUGAUUGCAAGGGGCAAGCCCUCACAUUUGUCCAAUAUACCUUUGGAAACAUCCAUCAAAUGGCCAGGGCAAUUACCACCAUUAAAGAUCUUGUUGCAAAACAGGGUCCUCGAAUCCUUUACAGAGAGUGGCUCCAUUCUGUAGACAAGACCCCGAGAUUCAAUGCAAGAGGCAGAGGCUACAUCAGCUCUUCGAGUUGUUAGCAUGACACGGUUGCCGUGGCUACUCUCGGGCAGUGCAAAUUUGAUGGUAUUCCAAAAUUCCACGUCCCAUACAUCAUCAAAAACAAUCGCAUACCUUCCAGCUUGUUGAAGAAAAUCUUUGACAAUUUUUUUCAGCUCAGUGGUAGUCAUAGACUCUAUCGAUUGUGGGACUGGUUUAUUCCCUUCCUUGUGUAACUGCUGAAUCAAGUCUUUCAGGAGGUACUGAAAGUCACAUGUUUCAGAGACAGUUACCCAAGCACGAACUGGGAAAUGCCUUCUGACUUCAGGAUCCUCGUGGACUCUUUUCACUAGGGUAGUUUUGCCAAGUCCUCCCAUACCAACCACUGAAACAACCUUUAGUUGGUAAUCAUCCCCUCGGAGGAGCUCAGGAAUAAGACGUUUCUUGGGCUGGUCAAUGCCAACUAAUUUAGCUUCUUCCACAAGCAGUGCGUCAUCUCUGCUAUAGCGCCAUGUUGUGUUGUUCACAGCAGAAAGUGAGUUGGACGCUUGGGCAGAGAUACCAUAUUCGGAUUGGUAUCUUUGAUGACCUUCAGAAAUACUUUUGAUUCUGGACUUGAUGCUUUGUAUUUCGCUAGCAACUCGAUGACGAGCUCUCAAAUUCUUGAUGGAGCUGAAAAUUCUCCGAACAGAGCCGUAGAAUCCUGUUGCGCGAUGCCGAGCAAAGCGAGCUACAAAUUCAUCAAGAAUGUCCUCAGUGUCAUAAGCAGCAUCUCGCACUUGCUUGAUCCAUUGUUGGAGCGUGGGUUGAGCAUCUUCUUCUCUUGCUUCUGCCUCUCGCAGGAAAGCUCUCAUUUGCUCCAACUCAUCCAUGAUGAAUUGGACCUCUUGCCGAAGCCCUCCCAAUAGUCGUCCCUCCUCGUGCAGAAAAGUUGAGAGUUGAUCCAGCACAAAAGAGAGAACAGUUUCUGCCAUUUUUAGUCUUUCUUUUUAACCUAAGAAUGUCGGGGGAGGCGGCUUCUGGUUUAUAGGACAGUCCAGUUGUAGUAUCUUGAAAGGAAGAAGGAAGAGGAGGUUAUAGAUUCAUAAGCUGAUGAACUUCGAUGCUAUAUGGUGCAGUAUUUAUCAAAAAGAAAAAGAAAGAACUAACUGUGGGUCCUUUGGUCGGAUAAUAACAAAGGAGCAUCGUUCAACUACUGCAAAAUGUUCUAUUAUAUGUGCCACAAUAACUCAGGCCCUUCUUUACAAGCGGAAGGAAUAAAGUUAAAACGCCGUCGGAUUGGACUGGACAUUAUUGAUUUCUUUGACGAAGAAAUAAAACUACUGCAAAAUGUUUUGCUCCUCCUGCUAAUAUGUAUAACCUUCCUUCCUUCCAUUGACUAUCACUUGAAUUUUUUAGUCUCAUUACUUGUGUGUCAACUAUUAUUUGAGAAUCUAAUAUCUCUUUUGAUUGGGAAUUUUGAAAAAUAAAAUAUCAUGUAAGUCUAAAAACAAACCUAAUAUGUCUAAUAAUUUUUUAUACGACCUAAAAUUGUAUUAGUUUGAAAACUAACGAAUUAUUUUUCAAUUAUUGUAACUGAUUUCAGAGGACUAAUUUUUUGUAAACUUUCAUCCUAAGUACGUAAUGACAUUUGUGUCUCUAUAUCCACUUUAAAACGUACACGUAAACUAUGUAAAUACAUUUUUUUUAUGUUCAAAUAAAUUAUCUAGACAUAGACUAAUUCAAAUAUUGGAGUAGAGGUGUUUAUUUUGUUCAAUUAUUAAUCAAUAAUAUUUGUCCAAGCAUGUUAACAGAGACAAAAAUGAUGCUACACGAGGAUGGAGGUGCUCUUUUUCUCUUUUACUCUAGUAAGUAUAUUAUUUUCGUUUUCUUCUUUUUAUUUUUAAAAAAUCAUUCUUAAUUAAGAAAAUUAGCGUUAUCGUACUCAUAACAUCAUAAGCCAAAAGAUCAUGUAAAGUAAAUUAAAGUAGAAACCUUAGGAACAAACCACUCAAACUAAUUUUUACAAUAAUUAAUAAAGUAGAAAUACUAAGUUCAGUGUUAUUUUUUGUUAAUAGCAGCUCAUGAGUGUGAAAAUUGUGGAAGAUAGAAGCAAUCAAAUCAGCAUACUAUUUAAACUUAGGAUCCAUGAGCUACUAAUAACUUGGCCAAAGUAUUUUAUCCCGCUGAUUUAAUUAACUUCAAAAGUUUUAUUGAGCUCCAAUUAACUAUAGUAAUAACGUGACUUAGUUCAAAUUACAAAACUCGAUCACAAGUAAUCGUACGGAGUUGAAUAAACCAUAUAAAUAAGGCGCCACAGUAACCAAGUUAGUGUUAGCCCCUUGUGAUCACCAUUUUAAUCUAUUAUCUCACUUCUUUCUUGCUUUUGUUUUUCCAUCCCUCCUUUUCCAGUUGUGAAAUUACUGCAACUACAACUGGAUAGGACGAAAGGCGGCUCAUUUUACCAAUUAGAAACUUGGCUAUGUUCAUAAAAAAGAAGAAAAAAAAAGCCUUGAACUUCAAGAAAAGUAAACAAAUCUCAGCACUAACUUGAGAGAAAAUGAAACCUCUGGCAAUAGCUGAUCCAAACCUACCCUGUCAAAUCCAAGUUUGCCGAAAGAGAGAACACGGGCGAGGAAGAUGAUAAUUUGAAUCAAAAUUAAAACAAUGCAGUAUAUGUGCAAGGCCUUUAGCUAGGAAGAUGGAGUAUCAUAGAGGAGAAGGUAGAGGAGCAGUACCGUUAUUGAUAAACAAUCCCUCAACGUGGUGGACCUAAUAAGAAUGUGGAUCUCAUCCAUUGACUGUCAGAGUGGCACAUGGCAAUAAUAUCGACUGUGACUUUCUCACUUUCCUGGUUGGAUGGUAGAACAAUUAGAUCAGAGUACCUUAAGAUUGUGGACCUAAGAUUGUCGCACAUGGCAAUAAAAUUGAGACUUAAAUGAUAUGGGAUCAGAGUACCUUGUUAGGUGAUCGGAGAAUGCGUAGUUUAGUCAUUUCACGAAAUAUUAGUUGUAUUCAAGUUAAGAUGGAUAGUGCUUAAUUUUCCAUUUAUUACAAGUAAGACUAGGUUAGGAAUAAGGGACAUGAAGUAACCGGAGGAUAAGGUCCAUCAUAUGAGCCACUCGAAUACUAUAUGCUGAAAAAGCAGCUUUGAAACAAAAGAAGAAGCAAAGGCACAAAAUUUUCCUAUGGUUCCUAGAAAUAGCAAAAGAAAGAAGAUAGAAACACAUUAUUGACAUUAUAAAUUUCCAUCAAUUAAUGUUCGUCAUUUUUAUACGGUAACUUACUACAGAGAAAUUGUGAAAGCCGUGUGAGAAAGUUGAGGAUGAAAUACGAGGAAAAUACUUACUCAACAAGAAACUGCAGCAAAAAUAUAUAUAUAUUGGAGUAGAGCCAUAAUAGUCAAUAAAAAAUAAGAAGAAACUAAUGCAAGAGAGAUGAUGGAAAUUGAAUAGAAAGAAGAUAGUUAGCUACGUGAUUUUGAAAGGCGAAGCUACAUUACAAAAUCAUGGAAAUUAUUAGAGAGACAAUGCAGUUGGUGGAAAUUGAAUGGAAGGAAGAUCACCAGAGAGGGACUUAAGUCCCUCCUUGGGCUGUUGGUGAGGGUUCAAACCUCAUCAGCAGCGAAAAAAAUCUAAGGGUUGUGCCAUAACACUCCCUUGGUCUAGUUGGGUCUGUAUACCCACUAUCCCCUAUCACAGCCUCUUUAGGCUCCCCCUCCCCCUAGAUUAGGAUAGAAUAAGUUAUACAAAAUAUAUACAAAAAAGAAUGGAGGAUAGAAUAAGUUAUACAAAAUAUAUACAAAAAAGAAUGGAACAAAAAUAAUUAGCAACGUGAUUUUGAAAGGCGAAGCUACACUACCAGUGUACCACACCAUCGUUCAAAGGCAACGAUGUCUAAACUUAAAACGUGGUGGCCUGGACAUCGAUUUCAUUGACGUAGAAAUAAAAGGAAAAUACAGAUUUAGUCUCUAAUAUUUUGACUUUAUGCAGUUUUAGUCAUUAAAGUUUUGAAAAAUGCAAAUUUGAUUCUCAAUGUUUAGCACAUGUGCAAUUUUAGUCCCUAAAAUAUUGGUAGGAACAAAUUUGGUCCCCUACAUUAUCGUUUUGAAGCAAAUUUAGGAUGAUUGACGAAUUUUUUCAAAUAUUGGUAGAAUCUGUUACGUGUAGUUACAUGCUUGUCAAUUUUAAAUAUCUUAAAAAAGAAGUAAAAUAGCGAGUACUCUUCAAUACUAAGACCAGUUUACAUGAUGCCACGUCGGUAACUAAUUAAUCAAGAAAAAGAAAAUUUGUUAAUCUAUAUGAAAAAGUAAAUGUUACGAUUUUGUGCUUGGCAUAGUCAGGAUAGAGUGUAAAAAUGAGUUCUAUAUCGAUGAAUUGGGUGCUUCAACUAAUUUUAGUUUAAAAAUUUUCAAUUUUUACUAGUUAAUUAGUUAGCAUAUGAAUUAUCAGUUCUUAAUUUUGUUGUUUAAAGUUAGCUACUACUUUGCAUCUUUGUUUUGAAAUGUAAAUUAAUGGACACAUAAUUAGACGUGACUAAAUUAUGUCAGUAAUUGAAAAAAAAAUUUCAAAUGUCCUAAAUCUAUUUUCAAAAUGGAUAUAUUAGGGACCAGAUUUGCUCUUGCAAAAAAUUUAGGGACCAAAACUGCACAGGGACAAAAAAGAUUGAGGACCAAAUUUCCUUUCACCAAAACUCUAAGGACUAAAACUCCACAGGAGAUAAAAUUUAGGGACUAAAUUUUUUCCAGGAAUACGUGAUGCAGAGGAAAGUUAUUUCUUCUGAGUGGAACAGAAAAAGCAACUCAAGACCUAAGCUCAAUUCAGGUUUCUGAUGAAUUCUUUUGUGAAAUCUAGCCGAGAGUAGCUGAAACUAGUUAAGAAUACAAAAUUAUACUUAGUACGCAAUAAGCAGAAAGGCAUCCAAGGGUCAGUAUAAAUUAUCUUCAAAUUUCAGAACACCAGUGCUUGUGCACCUAUUAAUGAAUUAUGGACUCGAUAAUAGUAUAUUUACUUUAAUGUAAGCUUUAAGUACUCCCCUACCUUGUUUUCUUUUACCUGAAUAGAUAGUUUCAAUGCUUAUUCUUCGACUAAAUGAUGUUGUACUUUAUUUGUUCAUUUUUUUCUUUUUGUUUUUUUUUUGUCAAAUGAUGUUGUACUAAAAAAGAGAGGAAUUUGCGAAAGAAUAUAAGGGUUCAAAUCUUAUCUAUUAGAAAUUAGUUUCGUUAAUUUCAAAGAAAGAAGUUAAUUAAAGAUCCCCUCUUUGUAUUUUUAUUUUUAACUCAGUAGAACUUAGCAUCUGCUAACCCUUACAUUAAUCAAACAAAUUGCCAACCAAUCGUUCUUGAUUGCCCACAUGUUGCUAAAUCUCAUUGUCAGCAUUCUUUCUUGGUUGCCUCAUAAUUCUUUAAUGCUGAUUUUUUGUAUUAAGUACAUUAGAAAAGAAUAUGAGUUCCACUUUACUACUAAAAUUGAUUAUUAGCAGAGAAGACAAAAGAGACUGGCGAUGCCGAGCCUUAGCACCUAGCUGUCACGGGCUCGAUGCCCUUCCAUAUGCAUCAGCGCAGAAAGCAAAAGUGAUAAGUUCAGUAAUAGGUGCAAUUGUUCAGUCAUCUUCUUUUUUGGUAAAGAAUGGAAGGGUGAAUACAAAGGUGAGAGCAAAACACCCCCCAUUAAUACAUGACUUUAGUCAUUCAAUAAGAAGUAGAUCUAGAAUUACACUACUGGUUCCUAGAAACAGCUUAAGAAAGAGACAGAGACAAUAUAUAUUGACAUUAUAAAGUUCUGUCAAUUAAUGAUAGGGUGUCGGCCUGUGUAAUAAUAAAACCUACUCAAAGUAAAAGUAAUUUCUGUAGAUAGCGGUGAGCAGGGUCGAAUCCACAGGGAUUGGGAAUAAUUGUUUCUUUUCAAAUUCACAGUGACAAGGGGGGUGUUUUUGCGCAGAGAGUGACAAUCAAAUAAAUGCAAAUAAAAUCCAAGGAACUACUAAAAAUUAAAUAACAAUUUACUAAAAUCAAAUAAAUGAUAACUAAGGAUCUAGCUAAGGAAUAACUUCAGCAAUGGUUCACCUAAUUGAUCAUCGAUGCAAAGCCAAUUCCAAUUAUUUACUAAUAAAUAUGUUAUAACUGUCAAACAAGCGAUGACAGUCAACCCCUCCUUACUGUGUCGGUGAUUAAGGUACGCUCGUCAAUCACUACUCUAAUUGAGAAAUAAUCUUAGGUACGCCGGUAAGAUUUAAUUCCCUAAUUGCCUUACGUAUUAGAGGAGCCCUAUUCUAACCAAAUAACACAUUACCAGGGUUAUUUUAGGUUAGCAUGCGUAUUCCCCUGACACAAACCCAAUCAUGUCAGUUAUCACUAUUUUGAGACAAUUAAACAAUUACAGAUUUAACGUCCCAAUUGACAAUAGAUUAUUAAAUUAAUUAAUUAUCCGGAUCCAAGACAAUCAAUUAAUUAAACAAUCAUAAGCACUGUAACCAGGGAAUAUGCGAAUACCAAUAAAUAAAAGAAAAAGAUAAAAUUAAAUCGAUCUCAUAAUUUUAGGCGAGCCAAAGCGUCCGUUGCUCCUUGACUAGACAAAGGGAUUUAACUCAUCCUUGUCUACUCUUACCGAAAAGAAAAGAAAAGAAACUAAAGAUAAAAGGAAAAGUCAAUGAUAGGGUGUCAUUUGUUAGUAAUUUUAUUAGUAAUUUUCCCUUUUAUCUCUGUCAAAUAUUGUGUUAAUUGCGAAUAUCUACUUAUAUUUGGUUUGUGAACUUAAUUUCAGGAAUGGAACAGAAAACUACCAAACCUGAGGGUCUUUCUGGAGAUAAUUGAGACUUCAAACAAGCCACAGGCCAGGGCCACAGUGCUGAAAAGAACUGGACUCCCAUUCCUUUAUUUUUGUUGACUAAGAAGACUACAACCAGAGAUUUCGACAGAGAACUUCAAGGCUUGGGCCUUUGACUUCGGCAGGGACCACGGAGGAAAGGAAAAGGGCUUUAGGCAUUUGGCUCUUAAGAAGAAAGCAACGUAGAGAGCCAGAAAAACUAAGAAGAAACUUGGAGGCUUGUGGCUAAGUGGUGGGGACCGCACUGAGGCUCAAAACAAGGAGAAGAAUUCGGCAGACUUGUGCUAUUUCGUGGGGACCACUGGAUGAGCUUUGAGUCAUCUUUCUCUUGGUUCUUAAAAGGGGGACAACGUACAGCAGAAAAAGGACGGCUUGAGUUUUAGCUUUUUAGUUUAGUUCUAGUUUUCUUUCUUUUGACUAGCCUUUGACACACGCCAGGUGUUCGACAAUAUUUCCCAACGGGAAAAACAUCUUUUAUUCCUUGCUUUCUAGUAAAAACGCAAUGCCUUUGCAAUCAAUUAAUUCGUGUGGUGAUUUAAUUAUGCGGCGUGACUAAACCUUCCAUCUAGUCAAGGGUCAACUCGACGGCGCAGUCCCGAAAAUUUGUGAGAUCUAAUUAGUUUUCGCGCGUUCCUCAAUUUAUUAAUAUUUGCACGUUAUCUGCUUGAAUUUUCAUGAGAUUAUUUUAUUAUUUGAAUGUCAAGGGUCCGAUGUUCAAUGUGAUUUAUUAAUCUCGUGCCAAUUUAGUCAAUUAAAUCCGUAAUUGUUUGAUUGAUUAAUAUUAGUGGCAACUGGUGUGUUUACACAUUAGGGGAAUGUGCAAUCUAAUUUAAAUAACCCUCGUAGCGUGUUAUUGAUUAGGGCUAGGUUUUUCUAGUGAUUAAUGCAAUUGGAAAAUUAAUUCCUACGGUCGUACUUAGGAGUAUUUUCUGGUUAGGGGUAAUCAAUGGUCGUACCUUGGUUAUCAAUAAAUUAAGGAAAAAUUGGUCGUUAGAAUUCGUCGGCGACUAUAACUAGUCUAUUAAUAAAUUAAGUGAACCUCUCUUGCAUCAAUGAUCGGGUAAAUGGACUGUGUCUGAGUAGUUGUAUCCCUGGCUAGAAUUUAUUUAUUCUUGAUUUAAUUCCUGCUAUAUUUGUGCUAGUUAAUUAUUUAUUUUUAGUUAGAUUGUUUAAUUAUUUUUAGUUGCCUAUCGGUGAAAUCCCCCUCUUACCAAUUGGACUUUAAAAGAGACAAAUAUCUCCAGUCCCUGAGGAGACGACCCUAUUUGUCACUGUCUACUAUUUAGUAAAUUUCGUCAAUUAAUUAAUUCUGGUAUAUCGGAUUCAGCAAACUGUUCGGUAACAGGGUUAAUCAAGUAACCCAUUGCACACCUAGAGUCCCUGCUCCAGUACCUGGAAUUAAUUUUUGACUGCUUUUAGUGGUAUUUAGGUUUUUAUUAUUAUUAUUGCACAGGUUCGACACCUGUCAGUCAAAGUCUUCCCCAUUGUUUCUCCUCACAUCCGUGGAGAAUAACUACUAAAAGCUAAGAAGAAAAAGUGAAAAGUAAGGCUAAGCUAAAAGACGAAAAAACUAAGAAGAAAGCAAGGUUGUCCCUUUCUCCACUGCAAUUUUCUGGUUUUUGGUUAUAGUAUUUUUGUUCUACUCUCUGAAAUAAAUAUAAAUUGCCAAAAGUGAGUAGAAUCUAACAAUUAAUCCACAUCGGGUUAGGUAAUAGAGGAAAUUAAUAAUAAAAUAAAUCAUAAAAUUGCAACCUAUCAAUUUCCCCCACACCUAAACCAUACUUGCCCUCAAGCAUGAUAAUAGCAAACAAACACCAAUAUUUGACAAUGGUCAUUGCUCCGUCUACCAUAUUACCAAGAUACCAAGAAAAACAUAUAUCAAGCAUGGGUGAUCAAGAUCCAAGAAACAUCACUUCGGUUAGCUUCUAAACCACAAACUCCUCUAAUUUCAUGUUAACUAAUCUAAGAAAAAGAAAUGACGCACAACAUUUAUCAGCAAAUGGUCCAACUAUUAAUCAAAAUCUCAACAUUAAAUCCAUAAAUCGGCAAGCUGACUUUUAUUAUACACUAACACAACUUUCAUUUUUUUAUCACAUUUUUCUACUUUUCUCUUUUUUUUUUCCUUUUUUUUCUCUUUUUUUUUUUUGCUUUUUUCGAUAGUAACAAAAGACUUGGUCGCUAGCCAUUGGAGCCUUUUGACGCGAACUCUGACAUUUAUUAGAUGAAAGAGCCCGGUUACUCAGUUUCGAUCGCCACGUGACCACGUACUCAUAGUAAUUACUACUUUUUGACGUGAGAAUUGACACUUUUGGUGAAGAUCCCCGGUUACUCGGUAGUAAAGACUAGCGGAGUACAGUCAACUCUUAUUCACCACUAAAUAAUAUAAAAACUCAAUAUAACACAAAAAUUAAAAGAAAAUUUACAUCAGCUAGUCUCAUUUUCAAACAUGGAGAACUAAGGUUAAUAACCGGACCAAUUCACAUGAAAAUGCCAACAAUCAUUCCCUUUGCCUAGAGAAGUUAACCAAAAAUUAGAAGAGCUACAUAAUCACUGAUAUUCACUAAAGGAAUGCUCUUGGAUUCAACCACAUUAACUCGAUACAUUUUUAUUAUUAAAACUAGGCAAAAGUAGAAAUAGGGACAACAAUCCAACAUCAAACCUUGGCAUGCACAUGUAAACUAAUCACUAAAAAGAAAGAAAGGAAAUGCACGAAAGAUGGCCAAAUAACAAACUAAAAAGAAAGAAAGAAAAAAAUAUGAGAAAAAAAAUAAAUAAAAGAAAAACACCUAAAAACUAGAAACGCUAGCACCCCCCAUUUGCUCCCCCCCACACCUAAAUCACACAUUGCCCUCAAUGUGAUAAACUAACAGCAAAAGGAAGGAGAAGGGCAACGGUACUUCCCUGAAGUCGUCAAAACAGUGGAGGGUUAGGCGGAAAUUAAGGAGGAAUUCCGGUGUGCUGCAUAAAUGCGGCCAAAUUUCUGCAUAAAAGCUGACAAAACUUGCCCAUCCCAAAAUCUCAAUAAAUGUCUCCAAUUGGACAGUUAAUUUCUCAACUCAAAAUCGGCAAUUCCAGCAAAAGCAGUUUAGAAAUUUGAUAAUAGCCACACAAUGACAAGCACUUAGUUCCCAAUCAGGCAGCCAACCAAAUAGAAAUAACAAAUGCUAGUCAAAAUAUCCCAACCAGUGCCACUGAUGCACACACAGGUAAGAAACAAUGCAAACAGGCAACCCAAAUCACUGACAAUGCCCCUCCAAAUCAAUAAUAGAAACCAACAGCUAGAGUGCCCCAACAACUCAACUGAAAACUACCAAUCUCAACAAGUAAAUCAAGCAACCAGGUUUUCCAAAUCAACAGGCAGUAGCAGAACUAAAUCACCCAAUCACCGUGCACGAUAGGCAACAAAAAAAAAUUUUUUUUUUUAUAAGUGCGGGGCUGCCAUGGUGAGUUCUAUAUAUAACACUACUGGUUCCUAGAAACAGCUUAAGAAAGAGACAAAGAGACAAUAUAUAUUUGGACAUUAUUAUUUUUCAAAAAAAAAUUGCUACGUUUUUCGUAAACACAUUUUCCAAUCACCUUUCCACCUCACAUAUAUCAAAUCACUACAUUAAUUUUUCUACAAAAAAAUCUAAAAAAAUGCAAUCCAAACACAACCUUAAAGUUCUGUCAAUUAAUGUUUGUCAUUUUUAUACGGCAACAUGCUAGUACAAAAGAAUUGUCAAAAGCCGUGUGAGAAAGUUAAAAGUUAAGAAUGAAAUACGAGGAAAAUUCUCAUUCGCAACAAAGAAACUGCAGCCAAAAAAAAAAAAAAAAAGAGGAGUGGAGCCAUUAAAGUCAGUCAAAAAGAAAAAGGAAAAAAUAAUCAAUUACAAGAAACUAAAGCAUGAGAGAUGAUUGAAAUUAAAUGGAAAGGAGACUGACAGCAGUGUGAUUUUGAAAGGCGAAGCUACUCUACCCGUUACACUACAAAAUCAUGGAAAUUAUUAAGCAGUUGGUGGGGCGUAUGCGUUCACUCUUCAGUCUUCCAUCAAAUAAAGGGGGUGGCUACCAGCGUACCGCCCUAUCGUUCAAAAGCAAUCGAUGUCUAAACUUAAAAACGUGGCGGCCUGGACAUUGAUUUCAUUUCAUUGACGAACAAAUAAAGGGAAAAUACGCAGUUAGUUAUAAUAGGCAGGGCAAUUAUACCCAACAAAUUGCAAUAUUUCAGAAGUUAGUAUUUACAAAUUGAACUCGACUAGUCUGGAAACAUCACUGUUAUAUAUUCCGAUCAAGAACAUAUACUAUGAAUAAUUGCAGUCGAAUAUCGUUCUUUAACUAAACUGUUAAGAUGAAUUCUGGGAAGUGAGUGAGGAGCUCAAACUAUAGAGACGCAUAGAAACUCUGCCAUUCAAUGUUGUAGAUCUCUUGUUUAACAGCUUAGAAGCCGCUAAUUGGGUAGUCUUUUAACUCAUCUCCAAAAUCUGAAGGCUUUAACUCAUCCCGGACUAGCUAUAAUGCCCCCGCAUGAAUGCUAUAAUUUGUACCUAUAAUCUAAAAAGCGUUUGUCAAAACUCUAUACGAGUCUCCAAGUGUGUGCCAAGUUUCACAGGUUGCAGAAAUGUACUCCAAGUUUCACAGGUUGCAAGAAAGUCCACCUCUUUCGUUGUAAAGAUGAUUGCUCGAGGGCGUAAACUACUACUAACACAUAUGUUACCCCAGUCAGACGACAGAGUGUCCAGAAAUAAGAUUCAAAAGCUUUGAUAGUCUUAACUCAUAUCCAAAAUCUGAAGGCUUUACGUACUGCUGCUACAAGGAGAUCAUUUCAGUUGAUUCAGAGAACCUUGCAUGAAUUCGGUGAAAUGUCCAGCCUCAAACCAAACCUACACAAGUGUCAGAUAUACAUGGCUGGUGUGAAUGAGGAUAUGCAGAUUCAGCUUUGCAAUUCACUGCAGAUGCCUUUAGGCUCACUCCCUGUUAGUUAUUUGGGCUUGCCAUUGAUAUCUACUAGACUGAGAUUUUAUAUAUCGUCAACCUAUUUUAAAUAAGAUAGAACAAGGAAUUCAUAGUUGGGCUAGUAAAAAACUUUCAUAUGGAGGCAGAUUACAAUUGAUAAAAUCCAUCUUAAAUGGAAUUCAGGUUUUUUGGUCUAGUGCUUUUGUUCUUCCCAAAUCUGUCAUCAAGACGUUUUGUAGGAUGCUAACUUCCUUUUUAUGGGCUGGUGAGAUUAGAACUCAUUAGUGUGCAAAAGUUAAGUGGACUGAUAUAUGUAUGCCUAAGAAGGAGGGAGGAUUGGGCUUGUUUGAUUUAAAACUUUGGGACAAAUGUCUAAUCAUGAAGCAAAUAUGGCAUAUUUGCUGUAAAAAGGAUACUCUUUGGGUUAAAUGGGUUCAUACCAACAACUUGAAAGGGUGUUCCUUUUGGGCAGCAAAGAUUCCUGUUAAUGGUUCUUGGGUAUGGAGGAAAAUAUUGUUGAGGCCUGAGGGACGAAGCUCAGCCUUUCAUUAGGCAUCUACUGGCACCCUAUUGGUCCUUUAUAUAAAUAUUUUUUCUGAAAUUUGUAUCAUAUUUCAACGGAAAUGUAUCUUUGCUCUGACCAUUGUGUCUAUGGUCCUUGAAUCAGUUAGGAAUACUAGUGUUGUGAGUUGGAGAGGAGUCCCACUGACCAAAGCCAAUUGGGAGCUAAGUAUGGAGUUCGGAUCGUCUCGUGUGUUUCCAGCAAGAUUGAGUUUGCAUUACUAUAAUAGUGAUAGAAUUUAUGUAAGUAGGAAUUGUUUGAUUCCUGUGUACUCGCUUAAUUCUUUAUCAAUAAAGAUUCAUAUUUGUCCAAAAAAAACCAACAAAAGAAUGACCAAUUACUUGCAUUACAUCAACAAUUAAUAUCAAUUAUGCCAACACUAGCAAAAAAGAAAAACAUUCCCAUGAGUUGUGGUGAAUUAAAUCGAAAAAAGAACAACAAAUUUUAUUUAUUAUAAAAGAAUAUCGUGAAUCUUAGUGGUUAAUAGUGUAAUUAGCUUUUGUGAUGCCACAAUUACACUCCUCUCUAAUAAAUGGACAAAUUGCAUUGCAUUUCAUCAAUAAAUAAUAUCAAAUAUGCUAGCAGUUACAAAAAUGAAAGAUUUCUUACUUUUUUAUUUAUCAAAAAAAAGAACAAAUUUUAUUUAUGAAAUAUCCAAGUUUAAAGAGUACUUCGAACAUGAAAUAAAGCAUAAUAAAUUGGUACUAUGAGUCUCUUAAAAAGUAUUAUGAAUCUUUUUAUAUUUUGGAUAAAAAUAAAUUAAGCCUUAAGAGCACGUUUUAGUAUGCAUAUAUUAGUAUUAAGUAAAAAAAUUUAACACAAAAUAUAAUAAGAGCUGGAGUAUGAUGAAGGAAAAGAGAUUUAUGUUAGGAAUUUAUUGGUUUAAAUUGCAACAAAAAUUAAAUUUAAUGAACUUUAUUAUUGGUAUUAUUGUAACAAUUGAUAGCAUCAAACAUAUCAAUGCCAAUAACAAUAAUAGUUAUAAAGGUGAAACAAUCAUUUGAGUUAUGGUGAAUUAAACUAAAAAAUAUAAUUUUUUAAUGAAAUAUAUAUCCAAUUUCAAAGAGUACAUCAAAGGUGAAUAAAAAUAUUUCCAAAUUCAAUUUGAUUAUUAUAUAAUAAAUAAGCUUAACGGCUUACAAUUUUUAAAUAUAAACUCUAUAAUCGUAAAUCAUGUCAUAAAUGAUAAAUAUAAAUAAGUUUCACCAAAUGAAAACAUUUCUCUUCAAAAUUAAGCUAUUUAAAUUUGAACAAUGGAAUUCAACAUAUCUAAAUACUAUUGUAAUUAUAAUAGUACUAUAGAUCAUUUUAGAAUUCAACAUUAGCGAAAAAUAAUAAUAAUUAGAAAAACUCACUACUGUUUAAAAAUUCAUAGAGUGACUUAAAGGGGAACAACAAAUUAUUCAAAAGUUAAAGAUUUUAACUCAAAUGACAUAAAUUUAACAGAAAGAAGAAAACAUAAAUACUCUUACAAAAUAAAGUCCUCUUGGAACAAAUAAUACUUUAUUACUUGUGCAUUUGUAUUGGUUAGGGCAAACCAAAUUCAAAAAAAUAUAUGAAUAAUAAAUAUCCUUUUUGGUUAACAAGUUAUAAAUUUAAACUCAAAUGACAUAAAAGAGAACACUGAGAUAAUCCAAAUUUAACAGAAAGACAACAACAUUGAUACUGUUACAAAUUAAAUGUGCUCUUAGGAUAAAUAAUGCUUUAUUGCUUAUGCAUUUGUGUUGGUUAUGGCAAAAAAAUACAAAAAAGUAUAAAUAUUAAAUGUCACAUUUUUUGUCUCAAUUACAUUUAUUCUUACAAAAUAAUUUAUUUUCUAAAACUUUUGAGAAAUGUUAUUUGUAGUCACAUUUCUGUUAAUCAUACUCCCACUAUCACUUAAAUCAUAUAGUUUUCAUUUGUUAAGAUAUGUGGUACCGUAUCAAAAAAAAUGGAGUGCAAAUUACAUUUUUGAAAAUUCUAAGAAAAAAAUCUAAAAAUAUCAUGCUCAUGUUCACGUGUAAAAGCACAUGAUCCAUUACUGGUAUCUUAAAAAUGCUUGAUUAUCCAAAUAGAGGAGCUUCCUAAAGAUUGUUGGAGUUUGAAUGGUCAGUUCCCUUGUGAAGUUUCUUGAACAAUCUCGAGACUCAGAUGGUUCUUAGAUGAACAUACGAUUGCAUAAUGGGUGAUGAUAUGUUGAAAUUUGUUAUUAAUUGUUAUGAUUAAUUUCCCCUUUACUCUUGCCAAAUAUUGUUUUAAUUGUCAGAUUCUACUGAUAUUUGGUUAAUUGUGUUAAUUAUAGAGAAUUAUGUGAGACGCGAUCAAAAUGAGCAAAUUUCUAGCAUUCCAAGAGUUAAUUUGAUGGUGGUACGUUUGGGGCCGAUUUCCAAAUCCUAGUCGAACUCAGGUUAAUUUUUGAAGGAAGAUUUUGAAAACUUCAAUUUUCAUUAUUAGUUCUAGAAUUGGAUCAGGGAACUUGGAAUAGUAUUUUUAGUAGUUACUUUUUUCUAUUUAGGAAACAUGUUAUGUUAUUGGUAGUUGAGAUCGAAUGGGAAACAAAAAACAAAAGCAAAGGACGGACCGCUUGAUGUGGAGUUGGCCAGCAACAAUUUCAGAGUGCGACUCUUGGAAGUAGGAUAUACGGCCGUCACUUGUUUCUUUUUUUUCCCUCUUGUCUUUCGUUAGUUUUUUUAGAGAAAAACCAUACGCAAUUGUUAUCAAUGGAGUCUUGUGGAUUUCCCUCGAGGAUGCGUAGCUAAAUUCUAUUUCUAGUCUGAGGAUAACUUGAAGACUUUGUUCUACAAACUAUGAGAUCGAAUCAAUUACACUGUUUCUUUUAUUUGCUGGUAUUUAUUCGUUCUUUGGUUUUAAUAAUUAUGACUAUUAUGUUAUUCAAAUAUCAAAGGGCUCGGUAUUUGAAUUGACUUGAUAGUUGAUUGCUAAUUGAAUCGAUUUAAUUCGUAAUUGUAAGAUUGCUUUAAUCUUGGGAGCAACUGGUAUAACUAGAUUUGUGUUAGGAAAAUGACUAAUCUAACUUAAAGAGACCUUAUAGCGUGUUGAUUGGUUAGAAUUAGACUCUUCUAAUUAUUCAUGCAAUCCGGUAAACAAACUUCUAUGGUCGUACCUAGAGUUAUUUCCUGAUUAGAGAAAUAGUCAACGAUCGUACCUUGACUAUCGACAAAAUAAGGAAGAGUUGGUUUUUAUGCUAGAACUAAUUUAUCAAUAAAUAAUUAAAUUUAUCCUUGCAUCGGUUUAUGAACUUUGUCUGAUAGUUAUUCCUCUUGCUAGAGUUUUGCUAUUAUUGAUUCAAUUUUAUUUUAUUUGUGUUAUUUUGAUCUUACUGAAUUUAGUUGGUUAAUUCCAAGUAUCUCCAAACUCCCCCAAUUAAUUCUCACUUGAAAAGAAAUAAAUUUUUCCAAUCCUUGUGGAGACGAUCCUGCUCAUCACUGUAUACAGUUUUAUAUUUAUCUCGAGUAGGUAAUUAUUAUUACACACACUGACAUCGGUCAAGUGAUGCUUUCCAUAGUCUGAACCUAGUUGAGGAUGACGAAAAUUAGUCUUGCCCUGUUAUGGACUGUAGGAAUGGUGAGAGAGGAAGGGAAGAAGCAGGCCUUGAAAAAAUGAGCUAACUUGUGCAAAGAGUGGGUGGGGAACGUUAACAUAACUUUUUGUGCGUUUUCUCCUGAUGUAAUUGUCGGCAAUAACUUUGUCCAGUGCUAAGGGAAACACCCAUCGAUUUUGCAUUUCUAGUUUGAUAUUUGAGGGCCUUUGCAUCUCUGAAGAUCAAAUGGUACAGUUUGGAAUUGCUGAUGGUUCUGCGGCAAGUGUAUUUUUUUUUUCCUUGAAAUUUCAUCAAAGCCGCUCUUCUUUUUUUUUUUGUCUUUUUUUUUCUAAUGUAAGUGAGAAGGUUUGAACCCAAUAGCUCUUAUUUAUACUCCGUUCUCUCGUACCAUCUAACCCAUUCCUCUACUAUCAUCAAAAUUGCUGUUUUAAGAAGUAAGAACAAGCAUUAAGUCAUGUCCAGUGCUAAGGAAAACACUGGUUGAUUUUGCAUUUCAAGUUUGAUGUAUAGGGGCCUUUUCAUCUCUGAAGAUCAAAUAGUACAGUUUGGAAUUGCUAAUGGUUCUGCGGCAAGCUCAAUAUCAAAUGGUACAGUUUUGAUCCUUGUUUUAAGUUAUCAAGGGGUUAAGUAACUUCAUGUUUUGAUCCUUGUACUAUUUUUUUUUAUUUACAUUUUUGGGUUUUCUGGAUAAAAUAGUACUACUUAUCAUAAACACGGGCGAAAUUUUAGAGCAACUUCAGAAACAUGUGUGUUAAAGUGGAGCUCAAGACUCCCAGAUAAUGAGAAUGUACUCAAGCCAAUAGGCCAGUGGUUGCUCUUGAUUACCAACAUAUGCAUAUGCAUAGAUCAUCUGCAUUUUUUGUUCCUAAUUGCCAGCAUAAUCCACAUCUUUUGAUUUUACAAAAAUGCUGUAAAAAAAAAAGUCAUGAGCCCCUCUAUACUACGAGAAGAUGAUUGAUUGUUCACCCAGAUUUUGUCAAGUUUAGAAAAAAAAAAUCUUUAGAGUGAAUUGAAUCAAAUCCAAAUUUUGUGUUUAGUGACAAUUCCUAAAAGAGAAUGCAAUGAAGAUUUUCAGUGUAAAACAUUUAAGAACCAGUCAUGCACAUUGUAGGUUUAUUAGCACAAAGUAAUUAUGCUAGUCAAUGAUGAAUGAUCUCAUAUGCAACGCGAGUUGAAACAUUGGCAAAUUGGGAAAGGAAAGAAUAGAUUGGGGAUACCUAUAACUUAAAAGGAGUCAUAUAAUAAACUUGGUGCAUGUUCAGUAUUCGCUAUAUUUACAAGACAAGCCAUUAUUGAUGUGGGUUUGUACAAGCAGAGUGAGGACAAAUUGGGUUUAUGUAUUAUCUCUCACCAAAAUUUAAAAGUUAUUAUUUGGAGCUUUUAAUGAAAAUUUUCUGGUAGAUAUUAUUAACACACUUCUAACCUGCCUACCUUCUUGGACUGGACAUUGUUGAUUUCAUUGACGAAGCAAUAAAACUGCUACAGAGUCUUUUGCUCCUUCUAGUAACAUAUAUAACCUUCCUUCCUAUAUGGAAUUAAUUUCUGCUGACCAAUUAGUAUUUGUAAUAAAAACGGAUGGAAUAUCAAAGAAGCCUUGGGAACAAAAUGUGAGACUACAUUGAUUUAGGAGGCCUUUGAACAGCAUGGAAAUUUAGCACAUGUGCAAUUUUUAGUCCCUAAAAUAUUGGUAGGAACAAUUUCGGUCCGCCAUGUUAUCGUUUUGAAGUAGAUUUAGGAUGAUUGAUGAAUUUUUUUAAAUAUUGGUAGAAUCUGUUACGUGUGAUUACAUGUUUGUUAAUUUUAAAUAUCUUAAAAAAGAAGCAAAAUAGCGAGUACUCUUCAAUAAUAAGACCCGUUUACAUGAUGCCAUGUCGGUAACUAAUUAAUCAAGAGGGAAAAAAAAGAAAAUUUGUUAAUCUAUGUGACGCCCCCACUUCUCCCUAAGGCGAACCAAAGGGUAUCCGCGGGACGCCUGCCCAGCUCUCGCCAGGACUCACUACAAUCCAUCAUUUAAAAGCUCGAAAUACUUUAAGUAACCUCAAUACAUAAUUAAAGUAUUUCAAAUAUCUCACACUUACAAUUAUGCAGCUUUCAAGGUUAAAUACAACCCAACGGAAAAGGGUACAAUAGCCAUCCGUUAUAAUAUAACUUAAAGUUUUCAAAAGAAAACAAUCUAGUACUACUCACGAGCACCCUUGGUCUCGAACCCUGUAAAAGAAAUCCACAACGUGGUAUGAGCUACACAGCCCAGUGAGGUUCCAAGACACUCUAACAGUUCAAAUAAAUCAAGUAAGUUGGGCAUAUCAUAUGCAUGGUUCAAGGUUACACAAUGGCAUGUUAUCAUGAGGUGAUAAUCAUUGUACGGGUAAUUUGAGACAUUUAUCAUGGUAUGAGACAUUUAUCAUGAGACAGGUAUCAUGGUAUGAGUACAUUGGUCAGGUAACAGGUAUGGAGCAUAUCACAGGCAUAGCUCAGGAUUUCAUGUUGGCAUUUUAGCAUGAAACAAUUAUCAUGAUACAAGGUAAACAUAUACGGUAGGAUACGGUGUUCCAGUGGAACUCUGUCGGUCAUCUGCACCUUAUGACUUCCGGAUCCCCUCGGUUUGACUGGCCAUCACCUUAUCCCUCCAAUGGUAAUACUCGAGUAUACCGAAACGGUGUCCCAAGGUUCCAACCUACCCUACCGAGCCCAGUCCUGGCUCGAGUAGGUUAGUAACGAUGAGCAGGGCCCAAUUCAGCUUAGAGCUUACAACAUGCACAAGUAAUCAAGUAAUUCGGCAAAAGGUAAAAUUCAUCAUUUGAGUAGGUCGAGUGAGGUAAAGUACACACUCGCCUAACAAUGAUGGACAACUUCAUAUAACAUGGGAUUCAUGAUAAUCAAGUGAUCAAGUAAGUUGGUGAUUACGUAAGCAGAUAAUCAAGUAAGCAAGUAGCCGAAUAGAUUAGAAAACGGUAAGUAAACAUGGUUAACGGUAAACGGUUAACGGUGGUAAUUACGGUUAAUUGGUAGACAUAUGUCAUUUUAAUAGGCCACCAUUGGCCUUUUUCACUUUUUCCACAUAAGAGUCGAGGAGAUUCACUCCAACCGACUUAUGCUGUCAUAGCAUAAUUAAUCAUUUAAACACAUCAUGUAGAUAUGCUCUCCAAGCAUUUCAUAUCUAAUAUUUCAAGUAAUCACAUAAAUAUGCUCUUUAAGCAUUUCAUAUCGAAUAGUUCAAAUAUACAUAUUUCAGGUAUUUCAUGUCGAGUAAUUCAAGUAUACCUUAUUCAGAUAUGCAUGAGUGUGGUAAAUACUUAACAUAUAGCACUUAACACUUAAUAAUCAUGGGUUAUGCAUGUCAUAGACUUAUUCCAAUUACGUAUUCCUAUAUGGAACACUCACCUAUAGCAACAAGAGAGUAAUACUCAAACAAAUGUCUAGGCGUCCACUUCGAGUUCCUCUUGAAGGUCCCCUUGAGCGCCUGGGCAAAUAACCAUUAACUAUUAUACACUAUCACUUAGAACCCCUACUUAUCAAAGAAGGUUAUACAAUCUAAGGAGAAUUCAUUAAUUGGGCCUUAAUUAAUAAUAAUCGAGGCUCAAGAGUAAAGUUUUAAAGUCUAAAGAGAGAGACUAAUAUUUUUCAUGAAAUCGAGUUCAAAAUGUUCAAUCGGUAUUGAGAAAAGAAGGCAAGUUUCCAAAAUCUCAUUUUCUAAGAAAUUGACAAAUUUCAGCUUUGGGUGUCAAUUUUAGAAAAAUCGUAUCUUGCACUAUGUAGGUCCAAAAUUGGAAAGCUUGAUACCGUUGGAAACUUCUUCAAAAGCGCUAAAAGUUCCUAGAAGAUACUUUUCCAUGAUUCCAAACAGAAGGUAUUCAAAAAUUGACUCAAAGUUGCUGCUUGGGACCAUUUAGACAGUUUCGGGGUUGGUUUUUGACCAUCUUUGAAAAUCCAGCAAAAUUCACACAAUACGAACUAGCCUCCAAAAUUUAGAACUCAAUUAGAGCUACAAUCAAAGUUUAAAACAAAACAAACGGUACAAGAAUUGAAGUUUUGAGCGCCAAGAUAUAGCAGCUCAAAGUUGGCUAAAAAUUCCUCCUCGAUCAAGAAUUUCCAGAUUUAAACAUGAACUUUGGGACUUUGUUUGAACAUCUAAACAGACUCGAAAUGGCACCAAAUUUGGUAUGAUUAUACUACCAUAUAAGGGCUAUUCCUCUGUCAAAUUUCAUAGAAAAAUAUGCACGGAAAGUCACUCAACGAAAUCACUCAAGUUUCCAAAUUUUUAAGGCAAAGCUGCCUCGUGUAUGAAAAUUUCCUUUUCUAAACUUUUGACCAAGGGAAGAUACCUAAAACAUGUCUCGUUUAUGAUAAUCAGGUCUAGCAAGAAUUCAAAAUACAUUUGAUAGGUGAUUUACAUCAAGAAUUUCGAAAUAACAAGUCCCAAGUCAUUGUUAGUUACAAAUCUGUCCAAGUGGAAAAUUCUAUCACUGUAGCUGUUUCAAACUUUGGCCACAACUCACUCAAUUCAACUUGGAAUUGGGCGUGGUUGAUGGCGUUGGAAAGCUCUCUCAUAAAGCUGAAUUUUCUCAGAAGAAACCAUUUUCAAAUUCCAUUCACAAACAGCUCGUUUUUGAGCAUGAAGAUACAAGUCCUGUCCUGUCUCCUGGAGAGAAACGAAACAGGACAGUGAUUUUCAAUCGAAUGGUGUUGCUCACUCAAGUGGAACUAGAAUGUGCAUUUGGUACCAAUGGAAAGCUGGGAAUGCCUAGUUUCAAAUGCCACCAACGGCACUCAAUGUUGACAUCGGAGUAAAGAGUUAUAGCCGAUACAAGAUGACUGCCUGGGCAAUACGGGAUUCAUUUUCCAGUUUUGCUAACUUUGGAAAUCAACUCAUUUAACCAACCAAAUCAUGUUAUUUUUCAAUGAAAUUUUGUACACACUCACAAUAACAUGUAAACAAUAUAAUCAAGUCAUUAGAACCUCAAAAUUGUGCACAAAAAUGGUCGGACAAGGCAGGGGUAAAACGGUCACUUUUGCUCCAAGCACCUCCUAUGAUUUUCUACCAACAAUACAACAUUAAUCCACUAAUUUAAGCACUAAACCACCAUUAAAUCCAUCAUCAAGCAUGAGAUCAGUCCUCAAGACAAAGGUGGGAGUUCAUAGAGCCCACCCAUUUCAUUUUACACCAUAAACAAGCUACCCAAAUACAAAUACUACCUUAUACAUGUAAGAUGAUCUUCAUAAAGUAAGAUUUAAGUGUUGGAUUAACACCUACUUGAUUAGAGGAUGAAGGCAGAAAUUUCGGCCCCUUAGAUGCUCAAGAAAACCAUGGAUAGCAGCUCCUUUUCUUAGCUCAAUGGGAUCUCUAAAUGUUUAGUUAAGUGUAGUUCGAAUUUGGAGUGAAUUGGAAGAGGUUUGAUGAAGAUUUGAUGAAGGAAAAAUGAAGAACUUGGUCUUGUUUUUCCUUGGAGUUGCACGGCUGGAAUGAAGAAGGAAAAGAAGAGUUGCACGGCUGUUUGAGGUGAUAAAGUGGAGGGUUUUUAUCUGGUGUGAUGCACCCAUGUGAAACUAAAAUGUGUGGCUCUCAUUGAUUCAAAGGUUAACUCUUUUUCCCGCGCGUUUCGUGUUCGAUUCCUCUCGAAUUUGUUUCACUGGUGCACUAAACCUCUAAUGCACUUAUAUUCAUAUAAAUAUUAUUCACUCUCAAUCGUCCCAAAAUAAGGGUCUAAAGUUCCUGAAUUUAAAUCGCGCGUGUGAAAACGCGUAUCUCCAAUUUAAGCGCGAUAACGCGAAACUUCCGAGAAAUUCUUAUAACGAUAGUACUAAUAACUAUCACUUGAGUAUUUAAACAUUAAAAUACCGAAUUUAGGUCCAUUGUACAUGUCUCCAAUAUUCCAAACUUAUUGUACUCUCAAGCGGAUAAAAUCUCCAAGCACUAUUCACUAUUUUUACUAAACGCGCUCCAGGAAAUUAAUUCGUGAAAUGAGUUACUUUAAAAAUAUAACGAAGUUAUAUUACCAUGCAUUUAGGUCUAAUAAGACUAGAAAAUAUUCCUCGAGGCAAAUAUCCAAUUAAAUAAUUUAUUAAGCCACAAAUUAGGCUUAAAAAUAAUAGUUUUUACGAGUCCUCACAAUCUAUCUGAAAUGUUACGAUUUUGUGCUUGGCAUAGUCUGGAUAGAGUGUAAAAAUGAGUUCUAUAUCAAUGAAUUGUGUGCUUCAACUAAUUUGAGUUUAAAAAUUUUCAAUUUUUACUAGUUAAUUAGUUAGCAUAUGAAUUAUUAGUUCUUACUUUUGUUGUUUAAAGUUAGCUACUAUUUUGCUUCUUUGUUUUGAAAUGUAAUUUAAUGGACACAUAAUUAGACGUGACUAAAAUAUGUUAGUAAUUGAAAAAAAAUUCUUCAAAUGUCCUAAAUCUAUUAGUAAAAUGGAUAUAUUAGGGACCAGAUUUGCUCUUGCAAAAAUUUUAGGGACCAAAACUACACAAUUAUGUUAUUAAUUAUAUUAUUAAAUAUAAAGAAUUGGAUUAUAACUAAAUUAUUAUAUUGUAUAUAUAUAUGUAUUAUAUAUGCAUCUAUGAAUUUAAAUAUAUACAUAUUUUCGUAUAUGGGGGAUGGGGUGGGUGUAUGUUACCCUGCCCCCCGCCCCGUUUUAAGGUAGGGGAAAAUUUUCUCCCCCAGCCCUGUCGCAUCCUCCUCCCUAUUUCUAUCCUCAUGGACACUUGCCCUUGUUGCCACCCUUAGCUUUAAGUACCCUUAUUUUUGAGUAAAUUAAACGUAACCUUCUAUGGUUCCACUAAUUGUCAUAUAACUACCAUAAUAUUUCAAAUAACCUCUAUAACAUCAUUAUUUCAAAUACUAAUAAUGUCCUUAUUUAAAUGAUAAAGCGAAUAAAUGUUUAACCACCUUGGAUAAAACCGCAAGAAAAUUAUGUGGAUAAACGUAAAAAAAUACAAUGAGGCAAAAUGCAUAUUUAUUUAAAUCAUAGAGGGUUAAUUGGAUUUUAUGAUUCCAUCACACAAGUUUUUGGGAGUGCAUUUGGUUUAAACACCUAACCAAUGGUGCAUUCCUUCCAUUUUCUACUUUACAUAAAAUUACAUGAAGGUUAUACAACUAUUAUGAAACUUUAGAGGUGUUAUGUGGCAUUGAAGAAAAUUAUAGGGGGAUUAUAUGUAAUUUAUUCUUUUUUUACAUGAAUUGUAGGUAUAUAAAUUAUUUUAAUGCUUUUUCGACAAAAUGAUAUAGAACUUUGGGGGGGGGGGGUUGGUCAAAUGAUGUUGUAAUCAAUAGAGAGAAAUUUGAGAAGGAAUAUGAGGGUCCAAAUCUUAUGUACUAGAAACUAGUUUCCUGAAUUUUAAAAAAGAAAGUUAAUUAGUGAUCCUCUCUUCAUAUUCUUUUUUUUUAAAUUUUUAACUCAAUAGAACUUAAAAUUUGCUAGCGCCAUACGUUAAUCAAACAAAUUGCAAAACCAAUCGUUCUUGAUUGCCCACAUGUUGUUAAACCUUAUCUCCAGCAUUCGUUCUUGAUUGCCCGCCUAAUUUACCUAGAUUUUGUCACCUUUAGAAGUGAAAAUAUAGUUUAUUAGUUUGAUUUUGACCUUUUACUAUUGACUAUUACUUUUAUUGAAAAAACUAAUAGUGAAAUUUUAACCUAAAUCAUGAGGAAGCUAUAUAUAGGUUUUUUUCAACCAUAUGAGAGUUAUGUGGUAAAGUACCAAAUCAUAGGGGAUAAAAUAUAAUUUACUUAACUUAAUAGGGAAAAUGUACUUUUCAUCCCCAUAUGAGAGUUAUGUGGUAAAGUACCAAACCAUAUGAGAGUUAUGUGGUAAAGUACCAAAUCAUAGGGGAUAAAAUGUAAUUUACUUAACUUAAUAGGGAAAAAUGCACUUUACAUCUCCAUUAUUUAGGAUGUUAGACAAUUUCAUUCCUAAAGUUUGAAUCAAAACACAUUUCAUCCUCAUAAUUUUAUAAUUUUGACCAAUUUCAUCCCUAAAAUUUCAUGCAAACACAUUUCAUCCUAAUAGUUUCAUAAAUUUGACUAAUUAAGGACAAUUGAUAGAUUGUCAAGUAAUUUGAAUGAAAUAUCAUCACAUGACCAUAGAGUACCGAAUAGUAAAGUACAAAAAAAAACACUGGAUCAACAAAAAAACUCAAAAAUUAUUUUAUAAUUCACUUUAUUAUUUAAAAAAUAAUAAAUUUUUAACCACUGUUACUCUCUUCUUAAUCACAAAUUGUACAAAAAGUUUGAGAGGAAAUGACGUCAUGGACAAGAAACAACCCUAUUAUAGCCAAUUGAAGAAAUUUUUCAAACAAUCCCAUUGCAACCAAUUGGAGAAAAAUAUUAACGUGAAAGAAAGAAUUUUUAGAUUGUCAUUUAUUAUGCAAAAUUUUGUUUUGUUGCAUCAUAUAUUUUGUUGGAGAAAAAUAUUAACGUGAAAGAAAGAAUUUUUAGAUUGUCAUUUAUUUUGCAAAUUUUUGUUUUGUUGCAUCAUAUACAUGUUUUUCAAAUUGUUUACCUAUCAUCUAAUCUAUUUUUUUUAUCUCACAUAUAUCAUAUCAUAAUUUUUUUUUAAAAAAAUCUCUUAUUUGAACACACUCAUUAUUAUUUAUGUAAUUUAAUAAAGGGUAAAUGUAACGACCCCACCUCCCCCUAAGGCGUACCAAAGGGUUCGGCGGACCGCCUGCCCAGCUCUCGCCAGGACUCACUCACUUACUACAUUCCACAAGUAAAUUACAAGGUACAACUCAAAUAAUACAUCCAAUUCUCCAAAAUUACAUAUCAUAAGCGAAGCGGAAACUAGUUCUAAGCAUAAAAUAUAGAUUUACAUCCGAUUCAAUUCCAAAUAUUUAUACAGCCCAAAAGUACAUAAACCAAAACCAAAACUAAACUAUACAAGAUGUACGCCAUCCAGCCACCCAAAGAUCCAAAUACAAGUUCUUCCUUUACCUCGAUCCCUGUGGGGAGAAGAAGAUAAUAGGGGGUGAGCUAGAAGCUCAGCGAGUGACCAGUAAAAUCAACAGCCAAGUAUAUUUCACAAUCAAGCAUUGAUAUGAUGUCAUGAUGCAGUAAUCAAAUGUUCAUUUAUUGCUCAUGUGAGCCAGUGAAAUUCUUGUGCUUAAAUAUCCAAUGCUCGUUUAGAUCAAGUAACCGUGAAACAGAAGUAAGGAGCCAUCGGGCUCCAAAGAAUGUGUAAACAAUAGUGGAGACAUUGGUUCUAAGCACAAGACUUUCCAGGAACUCAUUGGAGCCAAUUAUGUCAUGGCACACACCCGAACCCCAAAUGAUAUGCAAUGGAGUAAUAAAUGCAAGAAUUAGUUCAAAAGUAACUUUGGGGACAGUCGAGGGAUCACUCACUCAAACUAUAGUGCUUCACGUAGUCACGUUCAAUUAUACUCCAGGUUUGGAGUCCAGAUCUGCGAUAGAAAUCCAAUUUGAGAACUUUGAAACACGAGUAAGAUUUGAAACUUAAACGUUCCGUUCAUAAGAAUCAACCAAUUGAAAUUCAUUUGAAAGGCAUUCGUGAAACACUUGCUCGCUUUUCAAAUCAUAAGGUUUUUUUGUAGCAUAUAUACUUGGAAACAAUACUUGAGUUAAAAGUACAAGGAAAUACAAGUUUACAUUGGCCAUUAUAUCUUUUCCUCAAGAGUACAAGUUCGUUUAGGUUUUUAACGUAUAACCAUUGAUAACAAAGUAGCAAAAGUUCUCGCUAGUUCAAGUGGUAAUCACUUAACCUUCACUCAAGUUGCAAAUAUAGUUUUCUAGUUCUCGAGUAAAAAUUCGGCAGCAUGCCCUUUGUGUUUACCUAAUUUUCCAGCCAUUUAGGCUUCAUUAUUUUUCUCAACCAAAACCCAACAUCACAUAUAUCAGCAAUUCAUGACAAGAGCCGUUCCAUAGGCUCACAAUAUCAUAAUAAUAAGAUUCACAACGAUAGCAAGUGCAGAAAUUCAAUCUAGCACAAAACAGAUUUGACGUAUGAAAGCGGAAAUAACAUAUCCGAGGCUACGCUUAUCGGAUUGAGGUGCAACCUAUGCCGUUUCGAAGCUAAGACACAGGGCUACAAUGUUCAUGAAGGUCACUUAGUCCAGUUUCUAAUGUAACUUGGUCAAAUUCUCAAAAUACUAAACCAGAAACCAAUUCAUCGGCUGUUUAAACGCAGAACACUGUAAUGGUCAUAACUCAGUGUACACAAGUCCAAAUCAUGUGUUCUUAGAGGCAUUUUAAAGCUACUUCAGAACACUACAACUUUCAUGUUUUGGCCCAGAGCUAAAUCAGAAUGGAUCCUGGUCAAAAAUCGUGAUAAACUGGACCUAACUGCUGAAACGGACUGCUGGGAAAUACUUAAAACAGUAGGGGUAUUUUGGACUUUUCACGUCCUGCGUUGCUCCGAUUGAGCUGAAAUUUUGUAGGCACCUAUAAAAUGCCAUUCUCUACAACCUUUCUUCUUUGACCUAAGGCCAAAUCAGCCUCUAACACACAGAUAAAAAUUCGGACAGAAUGUGGAGAGAAUUUUCCAGAUUUUGGAAUUUUUGAGUUUCUAGUGAAUCUUUCCUUAAUUUCUUGGUCCAAUCACUACCAAAACACCAUAUAACACCUCAAUUGCAACAUAUAAACAUCAUACAAUCAUUUGGGCAGAAUUUCCACAAGCCCUAGUUCAUCAAAUAAAUUGGGGAAAACUACUAAAACAUGCUCAUCAUCCAUGAUCUCACCAUAAAAUCAAGUUACUAAGCUUAAUUAAACAAGAUUAGAAGUGAAACUUGGAGAGAUAAACUCUCUUACCUUGAAUAAAAGUCACCAAGAGUAGCACAAGCUCUCCCCUUCAAGAAUCACACCACAACUCACUAGCUAGUCACUAGAAAACAAGUUUAAUCGGUUUACUUCGCUCGAUUCCUCACUUAUUUGUUGGAUUUGGAGAUGAAAUGAAAGAUUUUCCCUUGGAGUUUCUCUUCUUGUUGUUCUCGGCCAGCAGCACCCAAAAUGAAGAAGAAAAAUGCUAAGUGUUGGAGUUAAAUGGUUGGGGUUAGUCUUGGGUAAGAAGCCAUGAGGUGGUGACAAGUGUCACCACCACCACCUUUCUUUUUUCUCUUUCCUUCUUGUUAUUUCUAGCCUCAUAAUUUCGGUCAAGGCUGCUACAAUAUAAGAAGAUAUUAUGUGCAAAAGUCAACAAACUUGUUGGGUAAGAAAAAUUGUGGUCAAGCAGUACGUUCAAUCGGUAAUGCGCGGGACCCGCCGGAUCGCGCCGUUUUUCUUAAAAACUCACGUACUAGGUUUUUCACUUCCCAUUCACAAACCUUAUAUCAUUGCCACUAGUCACAUCUUAUUUCUCACUUAAAAGUCACUUUUAAUCCCCAAAUUAAUUCUUACUUUGUACCGAAAAUUCAUUCGGCUAAAAAUCGCGAAAACCCUAAUUCCGCUCCAAACUUGAAACCGAAGCGUAAAACCCUAUUUUCUAGGUCUAUUUACACUUAGAGUGAAAUAUUUGGGUAGUGGCCUUUGAUAAAUAAUAAUUUUCAAAUAAAAGGGUAUUUUAGUACUUAUUGGGCCUUAUCGGAAAGCCUUAAAGAGUUGGCUCUUUAAGCUCUUUAUGCGGACCGAAUUUCUUCCAGAUUUAUUUGGGCCGGAUUCCUCACAAAACUCUAUUCACCAGAAAUUUUUCCUUUUCUUCUGCCUCGGGGCGUUACAGUAAAAUACAUAAAACCCCCAUGUGGUUAAGGAAAUUGAUACGAAACUUCCUCAUUAUUCAAAAACUCCCACAUAACCUCCUUGUGCUUUGGACUAAUUUGGAAAAUGGACGGAAAUCAUCCAAAUUGAUGGAAAGAUAUAAAUUUCCUAUAUUAACCCUAUUUACAAACUGAAUCAAAGUUUAACUCAAGUCUCAAUUAAAGUUUUAAAAACUUUCUUCCUUCAUUUGAAACAAAGGUAGAACUAAGGGGCUCAUUUGAAAUUUUAUAAGAUGUAUCAUCUUCUUCAAGGAAAUGUCAGAACGUUCUGGGCUUUGCGGUCAUUCCGGCUUCAUCCUACAUACCAUCUUCGAGCUUCCUAGCUUCGGAGCUAAGACGCCGCCAAAGAAACAGAGAUGGAUAUCUCGCGGCAUGCUCCUAGUUGCUCUUAGUAGAUAGCCAGGCUUUAUACUUCCCAACGACUUAUAUUGAUUCGUUCCCGGCCUUGAGAAAUGCCCCACCGUGCCUUAAGAAGGUCUGAUUCUUUGGCAGUUGAACAGGCAGGCGCCAGAUCCCGCCCAAGUGACAUAGAUUUAGCUAUUUUAGUGGGGUUCAUCCUUCUGUUUCCUCAAAUCAAGUUUACUCCGUCAAAUGGUUUGAUGCCCAAUUCUACUUUUUUUCUUGAAUUUGAAUCACUUCCUCUUUAUCGUCAUUCUUCUGUUUAACUGCGUUCUGGGCUUUGCGGUCAUUCCGGCUUCAUCCCACAUGCCAUCUUCGAGCUUCCUAGCUUCGGAGCUAAGACGGAGCCAGGGAACUCAACCCGUCCAUUGCCUUAUUUGAAGUGGAAUCAGCAGCAUAUUGGCAUCAAAGGCCUUCAUACCAUUCUCUUUGAAUGCUCUAGGCACUCAGCCUUUUAUACGGUGGAUCGGCUGAGGUCUAUCGGCCUCGCCUUGUUCACCAUCUUUGGAUUCCGGCACAGCAGCAUACUCGCUACUGUCUCUGCCGCCGAAUCAGAAUCGAUCUCUGAAGGAAUGGUACUUGUUGUUGUUGGCGUUGUUUUUCCCAAUCCCCUCUCCCUGGAGGGCCGCUAUUCUGCUUCUUUGCAUUCACGAUCAAUUGGUGUUACGUUGGGAUCAAUUGAUCGAGAACUUUUUGUCAAUUUUUGAGACUAUUAGAUUGAGAAUUUUUAUUGUUAUUUUGUGCUCUAUCUAAUUGGAAAAUUUUUGGUGUUAUUUUGGGAUCAUUGAGUGUUGAAAGAUUGGUGGUAGAGUUGCUGGUGAUUGGUGGUGAUGGUGGAGCUACUGGUGAUCAGUGGCGGUACUGAUGAUGAUUGGUGUUCACUGGAGUCGUUGACCAUUUUGGUGUUAUUGACCAGUUUGGUUGCGAGCAGGAAAGAAACGGAGAAGGAAAAUAAACAAAAAAAAAAUUGACAAAACACUGCAAAAUACUAAAUUGUCCUUGACAAUAUCACUUGAAACUCCCUUAAUAGACGAGCUUAUCUCAAACGCCGUUAAUUUGGAUGAUUUCCGUCCAUUUUCCAAAUUAGUCCAAAGCACAAGGAGGUUAUGUGGGAGUUUUUGAAUAAUGAGGAAGUUUCGUGUCAAUUUCCUUAACUACAGGGGGGUUUUAUGUAUUUUACCCUUUAAUAAAUAACCGAAUUAGGUAUUAACAAUACAAUUAUUAACGGGACAUGUUAGUCAUGUGAUGAUAUUCUGCUUAAAUUGGUUAAAAAUCAUUCAAUUGUCCUAAAUUGAUCAAAUUUAUGAAAAUAUGAGGAUGAAAUGUAUUUGCAUGAAAUUGAUUAAAAUUAUAAAAUUACAAGGAUAAAAUGUGUUUGGACUGAAAUUGUUCAACACCCCAAACAUUGGGGAUGGAAAGCGCAUUUUACCCUAACUGAAUAUUAGCUAGCCCUUACAUUGGUAGAGCAAAUGGGUCAGUGGUUGCUCUUGACCGCCAACAUACUUUUUUUUUUCAUUAAGUGUAAGCGGGAGAAUUCGAAUCCGAAACUUCUCGUUUACACUCCCUCCCCCCGUACCACCCAAUCCAACCCACCCCCACGUAGAUCAUCUACACUUUUGCUCCUAAUUGCCAGCAUAAACCAUAUCUUUUGAUUUUCCAAUAAAUACUGCAAAAGAAAAAAAGAAAAAAUGACGUGUCCUUGUAUACUACUAGAAGAUUAUUGAUUGUGCGCCCAGAUUUGUCUAGUUUAGGAAAAAAAAAUUAGAGUGAAUUGAAUCGAAUUCAAAUUUUGUGCUUAGUGAUAAUUCCUAAAAGAGAACGAAAUAUAGAUUUUGAGUGUAAAAAUAUUUUAAGAAAUAGUGAUACAUAUUGUAAGUUUAUUAGCACAAAGUAAUUAUAAUACUCAAUGAUGAAUGAUCAGCAGAUUUGGGAAGGAAAGAGCAGAUUGGGGGAUAUUUGAUCAACAUAUCCAACAUUCGCUACAUUUACCAAACAAACCAUAUUAAUAUAGGUUUACAUAUUAUCUCUUAUCAAAAUUUAAAAUUGAUCGUUUGCUAAAUAAAGAUUAAGACACAAAAAGAUAAAGAGUAAUACUAUACAGUACAUUAACAAAAUCAAGCAUUAUACACAAUACAUACAAUAAAUAAGGAGGUAAGACACAGAAGAUGAUUAACUUCUCUCACCGUCACGGAUGUCGAAGGGGAAAAAAUUUACUAAUAAAAAAUAAAAAACAAAAGCAGUUUUGUCCACAACAGAGAGGGUGCAAACCAGAGAAAGGGGAAUGAUUUAUGUUUUCUUCUUCUUCUUCCCCCAUAGCUGGCGCUCUCUCCAUUCCCCAUCAUCUGUAUAGCAACCAAUGACAAUUUCAGGAAUGUGUGCGAUUCUUCUGUAAUCUUCACUUUCUUCCUUCUGAUUCUCUACCUUUUCUAUCAUUUCAGAACUCAUCUCAUACAAAUACAGCCCUUGAAGAUGGCUCAAGUGCUGAAUACCCAAAGGUAACUCAUCUAGUAAUGGAAGUUGUUCCAGAAUGAGUUCAUGGAGACGAGGCAAUGCACCCUCCUCCACUCUCAUCCAUCUCAACCCUUCCAUUCUCUUUAGGUGCAACUUCUUCAGAUUGAGGAACCCUCCAGCUUGGAAACACAACCCUUCUCCCUGGUAAGAUCCACAGAAAUUAAUUUUACCCAAAUUCGGCAAAUGUCGGAGGGAUUCAAGCGUAUCCUCAUCACCCCUUAACCUGCUCCAAUUCAAAUCUAUUCUUACCAAGCCGUGAAGAUGAGCUACCCAUUGUGGCAUCUUUUCUAAGCGGCUACACAAAAUCAGCAGAUGAAGAGAUUGAAGAAAAGAAGAAGAAGAAAAGGAAGAAGGAUGAUGAUGAUUUAGAUCGAUUAUCUCAUGAUCAUGAUCACCUUCUCCAAUUGAUUCAAUGCUUAAUCUAUGGAGACUGGUGAGGUUGGCAAGGGAGGAGCAGAGCUCCUUUCCAUCUUCUCUUCUUAACUUUGUAAUACCUAAUUCUCUUAAUUGGGUCAGCUUUCCUAUCUCCUUGACUACUGCAGAUCCACUACCAGCAUCUAUGUUAUCCAAUAUUUCUAGGGCAAGAAGCGCUCCCAUAUUCGAGGGAGCUUUAAAUCCAUGAAAUCCAUAAUCAUCAUCGGAAGAAUCAACUUGUUGAUAUACUUUGAGAACCCGAAAUUUUUGCAGCUUUAGGAUUUCCAUGGGUAAUUCCCUAACUCUUGUGUCAGCCAAAUUCAGAUACUCCAAAUGUUGAAGCUUGCCAAUGGCUUUCGGGACUCUCUCCACUCUCGUACCCCCUAGGUGUAGAUACUUGAGAUGAAACAUCUUGAAAAUCUCAUUUGGUAUUUCCUCCUGGGUCUCUUGACCACCCAAAUCCAAAACCUUUAACAGCUUACUACUCCUUAAAACAUCAGAUAACAACAGUUUGAAUAGUAGCGGGCUCAUGGAUCCAAAUGUAACGAACGACUGAAGGUGGUCAAAGCAGUAGCUUCUUCUUUGUUGGUGGUCCUCCUGGGUGUUGUUACUACUACUAGUAUGGAGUACUAGACGGCGUACCUUGUCGGACGGCCGCAUCAUUGGUUGUCCAGUAGUAAUUGUGACCAUGUUUUGUUCCCUUGACUUGAGAACAAUAACUUCUCUCAACAGGUCAUGGAUUCGACAAUUGUCGGGUAAUCCUUCAUAAUACACCUUAGUCACUUGAAUUAGGCUUCGAUUGACGAGUUCACUAAGACAACCCCAGGCUACAUCUUCAAUACUCAUUCCUUCUCUCCAUUCUACGAACCUUUCAGCAAUCCACAAAUUAAUGAGUCUAUAGCAUUGUAUUUCGUAAUCCUUUGGGAAGAUACUUGUGUACAACAGACACGUCUUUAAAUGCCCAGGCAAAUCAUUAUAACUGAGAGAAAGUAUCCUUUUAACUCUGUCCAGCUUACCAGUGCCUUCUAAUUCACCCCCAAGACUGCGUUGAACCAUCUCCCAUUCCUCUAUUCUGUUUACAUCUUUCAAAGCCAAAAACCCACUGAUUGCAAGAAUUGCAAGGGGCAAGCCCUCACAUUUUUCCAGUAUACCUUUGGCAACAUCCGUCAAAUGGCCAGGGCAACUAUUUCCCUUAAAGAUCUUGUUACAAAACAGGGUCCACGAAUCUUCAAAGGACAGUGGCUCCAUUCUGUGGAUGUAGCCUAGAGAUUCUGUACAAGAGGCAAAGGCUACAUCAACUUUUCGAGUUGUUAGCAUGACACGGUUGCCGUGGCUGCUCUUGGGCAGCGCAAAUUUGAUGGUAUUCCAAAAUUCCACGUCCCAUACAUCAUCAAAAACAAUUGCAUACCUUCCAGCUUGUUGAAGAAAAUCUUUGACAAAUUCUUUCAGCUCGGUGAUAUUCAAAGACUCGAUCGAUUGUGGGACUGGUUUCCUCCCUUCCUUGUGCAAGUGCCGAAUCAAGUCUUUCAGGAGGUACUGAAAGUCACAUGUUUGAGAGACAGUUACCCAAGCACGAGCUGGGAAAUGCCUUCUGACUUCAAGAUCCUCAUGGACUUUUUUCACUAGGGUAGUUUUUCCAAGUCCUCCCAUACCAACCACUGAAACAACUUUUAGUUGGUAAUCAUCCCCUUGGAGGAGCUGAGAAAUUAGAUGUUUCUUGGGCUGGUCAAUGCCAACUAAUUUAGCUUCUUCCACAAGCAGUGCGUCAUCUCUGCUAUAGCGCCAGGUUGUGUUGUUCACAGCAGAAAGUGAGUUGGUCACUUGGGCACAGAUACCAUAUUCGGAUUGGUAUCUUUGAUGACCUUCAGAAAUACUUUCGAUUCUGGACUUGAUGCUUUGUAUUUCGCUGGCAACUCGAUGACGAGCUCUCAAAUUCUUGAUGGAGCUGAAAAUUCUCCGAACAGAGCCGUAGAAUCCUGUUGUGCGAUGCCGGGCAAAGCGAGCUACAAAUUCAUCAAGAAUGUCUUCAGUGUCAUAAGCUGCUUCUAGCACUUGCUUGAUCCAUUCUUGGAGCUGUUGAAUUCAAAGUCUUGAAUUCUUCAAGCCUUAAUUGUUGACUUUUCUAAGGCCAACAAUUGUUGAAUUUGGUGGCCUAAUAUCUGUCCUACAUCGGUGGGAUUAUUGGAAGAACCUUAGCUUGAGAGCUAUAAAUAGCUCUCAAGUCCUUCCAAUUAAAUUGUACCAAGAACAACAAAGAAUUACCCAUAAGGAUUUUGUAAUUCUUUGUAUUCUUUCUUCUCUCCUAAAUUAUAAAAGCAGGUCACUUGAGUGGUGCUCGGAGAGUAGGCAAAAUUGGCCGAACUCCAUUAUCAAUUUUUCGGGUGCGUUCUUUCCUUAUCUCUUUUAUUUGUUCCGCAUUAUUUAUUAGUCUCUUUUCUAUUGUAGUAUAGUAUUCAAUAUAUUUGUCGGGUAUAUUUGUAGUGUUUUAUACGGUUCAUUUGGGUGUAUUUUUCUUAUUCGUGUGUACGUAUUAUUUAUGUAUACACGGGUAUAGUUGUGAUAAUACACCGUGCACGUAAGUUCUGUCUAGGAGACUGGGUUUUAAGUGGGACCGCUUGUGACCCCUCCAGCCUUUCCUGGAAAUUUACUUGGAAUGGUAAUUCUGUCUUAGGAGAUUGUUUCGACGAUCUUUCCUGAGAAUUACUGAAUCGGUUUAAUCACUAGUUGUAUUUUUGAGUGGGAAAUUACCCGAUUUCCCCAACAAGCCUGGGUUGAGCAUCUUCUUCUUUUGCUUCUGCCUCUCUCAGGAAAGCUCUCAUGUGCCCCAACUCAUCCAUGAUGAAUUGCACCUCUUGCCGAAGCCCUCCCAAUAGUCGUCCCUCCUCGCGCAGAAAAGUUGAGAGUUGACGCAGCACAAAAGAGAGAACUGUUUCUGCCAUUUUCAGUCUUUCUUUCUAACUUAAGAAUGUUGGGGAAGGCGGCUUCUGGUUUAUAGGACAGUCCACUUCUUGUAUCUUGAAAGGAAGAAGGAAGAGUAGGUUAUAGAUUCAUAAGCUGAUGAACUUUGAUACUAUAUGGUGCAGUAUACAUCACAAACAAAAACCGCGUCAAACAGAAAAAGAAAGAAUUAACCAAUUAGAAGAAACUAAAGCAAGAAACAGGAUGGAAAUUGAAGACAAGAAGAUAGGCAGCAAGGUGAGUUUGAAAGACGAAGCUGCCUUACCUGCUUACAAUACAAAAUCGUUGAAGCUAUUAAGAAGAUCAGCCUUCAGCUUCAGGACCUUCUUUCAACUGUGGGUCCUUCGGUAGGAUAAAGAUGAAGAGUGACUACCGCAGCAUCGUGCAAAGGCAAUGAUGUCGAAUUAUUUAACAAGGGAAGGAAUAAAGCAAUGGUGUCUGACCAAGUUUUCGGUAUGGACAUGAACGCGUUUUUUAUGUAGUUAAUAAAGAGGAGAGAGCACAAGAGAAUGAGAUCUACUUUAAAUAAAGAAAACCCCAAAAUGAAAAUGACAGUUCUGACUGAAAUGGAAGCCAGCUAUGAGUUUUCCCGGAACAUGUGAUGCAGAGGAAGGAGUUGAACAGAAAAGGCAACUCAAGACCUAAGUUCAAUUGACUAGCAAUAGCAAUAACUUACAGUUAAAGUGCAAUUGUUCAAUCAUAUCUUCAUUUUUGGUGAAGAAUGGGAAGGUGGAUACAUAGGUGAGAGCCAAAAACCCCAUUUUGGAAACCGGAAAUAAAUUACUUUAGUCAUUCAAUAAGAAGUAGGUCUAGAAUUACAAGAGAACUAUCUAAAUACUGCAUAUCAUUUCUUUUUUUUUUUUCCCCCUUUGAUUAUACUCAGUUUUUCUUUUGGCAAAACCCCAAGUUGGGGGAGGGAACUCAGUUAUAUAAACAUAGUUAUACAUAUUUUAAAAUUCAUAGUAAAAGUUCACAUGAAGUGUACAAAUUCACUCAAAACUAUGGGUUAUAAAAACAAACAUUAAAUGUGCAUUUUCAUAUUCUUUCAUGAGUAUACGUGAUUUUUUUAAUUUGAAUCACUGAUUUUGCGCACAUAAUCUUAAUUUUAUUAGUCUGUGAACAUUAGGUGGUUGGCCUGUCCUUCCGCUCUCACGAUGUGCUGAUAAAAAGAUGAAUAUGCUGUGACUGAUGAUGUUUCAACUACACCUCUCUCAGUUUGUGUUUUCUAAUUUUAAAAAUUUUUAAUUGAUAUAUCAAGUAAAGAUUUUCUUUUUCCUUUUUUUCCCCUGGCUUUCUAGACAAGGUUGAAUGUGAAGAAAGAAGUGAGAAUGAAAAUAUUGGAGAUGGAUAAAAUUAAAUGCUCAGCAUAAGACAAUUGAGGUAACGUUUAAGUGUUUAACUACUGAGCCAAAUCUCAUCACCACCAUCUUAUCAUGUCUAAUUAGUCUUUUAGUUCCUUGUAAUGUUAAAAAAAAAAAAAUGGAACCAAAUGGGAGCAUGGAAUCUGUCCUUUUGCAGGAAUAAUUAAUUUGUGGGAAAAUCUUGCUGCAUAUCUGCAUGUACUAAAUAAAUAUUGACUAUAGUAAGCGAGAGUGUAUCCUUGUAAAGAAGAUUUUUAUGUAGGGAUACGAAAAAAGAGAAAUUUGAAACAUGUGGUUGGAUUGGUUUUUCCUGAGUUUAAAGAGUCAUAGGCUAAAAAAGUAGUAGUAAUUCAAUUCUUUUUUCAAAUCCUAGUUCAAAGCCAUAAUUAACUAUUGUACAGUCAUAAUUUGGAAUCAAAUGUGAUCAGGUGCAUUAUUCGAGCUACUGUACGUAUGUGAAACAAAAGAAGAAAUAAAGUCACAAAGUUUUCCUAGUGAUCAAUAGUACGUACUACUGCUUCCUAGAAACAACAUAAGAAAGGAGAUAGAGAGAGACACUAUCGAUAUAUAAAGUUCUGUCAAUAUUUGUCAUUUAUAUAUAUAUAUUUUUACUAUAGAUGAAUUGUUAAAGCCAUGUGGGAAAAUUAAGAAUGGAAUUACACUAAUGUGUUUCAUUCCAAAGCUAAUUGUAUUGUCAGAAAUUAAAUAAUUCUAUUUCAUAAUUUAAAAUAAAAUUUGAUGCAAUAAAAAUUCUUUUUUUGAAUAUGAGACCUUGAUUAUGACAAUACAUGAAUACCCUCAAUGAUAUUAGAAAGUGCAUUCAAAUUUAGGGACUGACAUAGUCCUAAUUAUUUUGUAAGAAGAGUAAUCUUGAAAAGAAAUAACUUAACACUCAACCAUCAAUACAAGCUCACUCUUUUAGCAAAGACUAGUUGGGACGGCCUGCGCGUUGCGCAGGAGGGCGAAUAUUUCCCGUGUUAAGUUGCACAAGUUUUAGUUAUUGUAUAUUUGUUGUAGUAUAGAGAAUUAUAUAGGUGGUAUAAGUUUGGCUUGAAUUAUAAAAUAAUAGUGCGGUAAAUUGGUUGGGUGAAUAUAGUGUUAAUAGUUUGUGAAGUAUGAAGGAUAUUUUGUAAUAUAAUGGUUAAUAAAGUACUAUAAUUGAGACAAUGCAGUGUCAACAUUUUGUGUGGUAUGAUUUGUAUAAAUUAUGUGGUUUGGGUGAGAUAAUUAUAAAGAUACCCAUUUAUAUUUAUGUAUAUCUCUAUUACUCACUAAGUUCCAUAAAUAUGGGCCUAUUUCUUUUUUUUUUUGCACAAAUUAAAACAUUUAAUCAAUAUAAUCACAAGAAUUGCUUUUCUUUCAUUUUUUUGUAUAAUGUCACUCACUAAUAUUAGAUCAUUAAUCCACAUUAAGAGCCAUGUAUUAUUACAUUGUUUUUGAAAUUUACAAUACUUUAAUUUUUUUAAUGUAAGAAACAAUGUAAUUAAUGUUGCAUGUUUGACUAAAAGAAUAAUAAAAAAAUAGCAUACAACAUUGCUUUUCAAUUUAGAGUAAUUUAGAGCCAUUAGGAAAAAUGAAUAUAUACACAUUAAAUUUAGAGCCAUUAGGAAACAUUUUACAAUAAUUAUAUAUAUACAUUAAAUAUGGAUAUUUAUCUAACAAUAUAAAAGCGAGAGUUGCCCCAUGAACAAUAUUUUUUUGUCAAGCGGUUAUCCUGCAAUUGUUAUUGGAUGCCCGGACUAUUAGUAAAUAACAUAUUAAUUAUUCUUUUCUAUAGAACGAAAAAUAAGAAUAAAAACAAGGGCAUUAAAAAUUUGUAAUAAUUAUAUAGAGUAAUACGGAUAUAUAGACUAAUAUAUCUUUAUAAUUGUAUGUUUUAAAAAAUAGUAGGAUUAGAAACCAUUUUUAGUCCAUGACACCUUAACCGAUUUUGGUUAAUUGUGAUAACAAUGUUGGACGUCAUUUUUUUUUUUUUACUGCUGUUCAACUUUUGGGAAUCAUUCAGUCAAAAGCUACUACUGAACAUGCUAAACAAUCACUGUAUUCAACAAUUUUACAGAGCACUAUUUUAUUUCUUUUUUUGCAAUAUAUGCAUUCAUUUUUUUCCAAACAAUUUUUAUUUCAUGUCGUACUAAUAAAAUCUAUUUUUUAAAGUCAUUAAAGCCAAUAAUAAUUUAUUAAUUAUUUCCUCAAUAAUUGUGUAAUUACAGAACACUCAACAUUAAUUAGAUUGUUUCUUACAUUAAAAAAAUAAAGUACUGUAAAUUUCAAAAAUAAUGUAAUAAUACAUGGCUCUUAAUGUUGAUUAAUGAUCUAAUAUUAUUGAGCGGCAUUUUACAAAAAUAUGAAAGAAAAAUAAUUGUUGUGAUUCUAUUGAUUAAAUGUUUUAAUCUGUGCAAAAAAAAAAGAAGGAAAAAACCAACAAAUACAGUGAUUAUCAAGAAUAAGAAACAGAUAGAAAUGCGUGAAACCUCAGAAUAAAAUUAGAAAAAAUAUAUUAAUCCAACUUGAUUAUCAAUUUUUAUUUUUAGCCCAGAUUAUUUGUAUGAUUCUUGAGCUUUAUCUGACUGAAUUAGAGAAAAUCUAUACAAGUUCAGAAGCUUAACUGCUGCGACCCUUUAUUGCUCUUCGUAUAGAUACAUAGAAAGUUAUGCCUUUGCCUUUCUUUUUUUUCGUUAUUAUGCUUUGGUUUUCAGCUGAGAUUUCAUCACCGUAGCAUUUGACCAGAAGGAUGACUGGAGGCUUCUCAAUGACCAAAAGACCAAAACGCCCCUCAAAGUCACAAAAAUAGCAACAUAACCGCUUGACCAAAAUUCACUAUUCAUUUGGCAACUCUCUCUUUUAUUAUAUAACUAGUUGGGAUGGCCUGCGCGUUGCGCAGGAGGGCGAAUAUUUCCCGUGUUAAGUUGCACAAUUUUUAGUUAUUGUAUAUUUGUUGUAGUGUAGAGAAUUAUAUAGGUGGUAUAAGUUUGGCUUGAAUUAGUUCAGAUAAUAUAGUGUUGAUAUUUUGUAUGAUAUGAUUAGUAUAGAUUAUGUGGUGUGGGUUAAGUAGUUGAACUCACUAAGUUCCAUAAAUAUGGGCCUAUUUCCUUUUUUUUUUGCAAAAAUUAAAACAUUUCAUUAAUAUAAUCACAAGAAUUAUUUUUCUUUCAUAUUUUUGUAUAAUGUCGCUCACUAAUAUUAGAUCAUUAAUCCACAUUAAGAGCCAUGUAUUAUACAUUGUUUUUGAAAUUUACAAACUUUAAUUUUUUUAAUGUAAGAAACAAUGUAAUUAAUGUUGCAUGUUUGACUAAAAGAAUAAUGAAAAAAUAGCAUACAACAUUGCUUUUCAAUUUAGAGUAAUUUAGAGCCAUUAGGAAAAAUGAAUAUGUACACAUUAAAUUUAGAGCCAUUAGGAAACAUUUUAUAAUAAUUAUAUAUAUACAUUAAAUAUGGAUAUUUAUCUAACAAUAUAAAAGUGAGAGUUGCCCCAUGAACAAUAUUUUUUUGUCAAGCAGUUAUCCUACAAUUGUUAUUGGAUGCCCGAGCUAUUAGUAAAUAACAUACUAAUUAUUCUUUUUUAUAGAACAAAAAAUAAGAAUAAAAACAAGGGCAUUAAAAAUUUGUAAUAAUUAUAUAGAGUAAUAUGGAUAUAUAGACUAAUACAUUUUUAUAAUUGUAUGUUUUAAAAAGUAGUAGGAUUAGAAAUCAUUUUUAGUCCAUGACACCUUAACCGAUUUUGGUUAAUUGUGAUAACAAUGUUGGACAUCUUUUCUUUUUUUUUUUUUUUUACUGCUGUUCAACUUUUGGGAAUCAUUCAGUCAAAAGCUACAACUGAACAUGCUAAACAAUUACUGCAUUCAACAAUUUUACAGAGCACUAUUUUAUUUCAUUUUUUUUUUUGCAAUAUAUGCAUUCAUUUUUUUCCAAAUAAUUUUAUUUCAUGUCGUAGUAAUAAAAUCCAUUUUUUAAAGUCACUAAAGCCAAUAAUAAUUUAUUAAUUAUUUCCUCAAUAAUUGUGUAUUUACAAAACACUCAAUAUUAUUUAGAUUGUUUCUUACAUUAAAAAAAUUAAAGUAGUGUAAAUUUCAAAAACAAUGUAAUAAUACAUGGCUCUUAAUGUAGAUUAAUGAUCUAAUAUUAGUAAGCAGCAUUUACAAAAAUAUGAAAGAAAAAUAAUUAUUGUGAUUAUAUUGAUUAAAUAUUUUAAUUUGUGCAAAAAAAAAAAGGAAAAAACCAACAAAUACAAAAGCCAACAAAUUUGCCCUCAAAGUUGCCCAAAAUUAUCUUAUAAGCGCUUGACAAAAAAUUCACUAUUCAUAAGCCAACUCCCUCCGAAAAAUAAUUGUUGUGAUUAUAUUGAUUAAAUGUUUAAAUUUGUGCAAAAAAAAAAGGGAAAAAGCCAACAAAAGCAAACAAAUACAAGAGCCAACAAAUUUGCCCUCAAAAUUGCCCAAAAUUACGCUAUAACCGCUUGACCAAAAAGCACUAUUCAUCCUCCAACUCCCGCUUUUAUUAUAUAGAUAUUGAUUAAAUGUUUAAAUUUGUGCAAAAAAAAAAAAGGAAAAAGCCAACAAAAGCAAACAAAUACAAGAGCCAACAAAUUUGCCCUCAAAGUUGCCCAAAAUUACGUUAUAACCGCUUGACCAAAAUUGCACUGUUCAUCCUCCAACUCCCGCUUUUAUUAUAUAGACUAGUGAGACGGCCUGCGCGUUGCGCAGGAGGACUAAUAUUUCCCGUGUUAAUUGUUUUUUGUUGUAUGAGUUUAUUAGUAUAUAUCUCUGUUAUUAUUUAAUUCAUGCGGAUCAUUAGGGAAUUAUAAUUUUUGUUAAAAGUUAACUAUUAUGAAAUAUAUAGAAUGCAUGAGACCAAUAAUAUAUAGAAUGCAUAAGGAUAAAUUAGAAAAUUGUAUAAGGUUAUUUUACAUUUGGAUCAGGAUAAUUAGAAAAUUGUAAAGUGAAUCAUUUCCAAAGAGUAUUAAUCAUUAUUGACACAAAAAAUAGGGGAUCUUGAAAAUCAAUUAAACACUUGAACCAUAGAACUUGACACUGCUAAAAAUUAAUCACCACAUGUCACAAUAAUAAAACCCAUUUUUUAAAGUUACUAAAGCCAACAAUAGUUUAUUAAUUGUUUCCUCAAUAAUUGUGCAUUUAUAGAACACUUAACAAAUUUAUUCUAUGUUAACCCAACAAUAAUUUAUUAAUUGUUUCCUCAAUAAUUGUGCAUUUACAGAACAUGUAUCAAUUUUAUUUCAUGUCACAGUAAUAAAAGCCAUUUUUAAAGUCACUAAAGCCAACAACAAUUUAUCAAUUAUUCCCUUGGUAAUUUUGCAUUUCCAGAACACUUCAAAAGCAAAUAAUUAACCACAAAAAAUCAACUUUCAUAGGUUUCACUUUUUAUACCACCAAUUAUGAAUUCAGUCAACAUGUCCAAUAAAUACAUCAAAACUAUAGCAGCUGUUAAAAAACAAACAAAUAAUUGAUGAAAAUAGCCCUAACAUCCAAUAACAAUUGCAGGAUAACCGCUUGACAAAAAAAACCACUGUGCAUAGGGCAACUUUUCCUUUAUAUUGUUAGAUAUGUAUAUCUCUAUUACUCACUAAUUUCAAUAAAUAUAGGCCUAUUUCUUUUUCCAUUAAUAUUAGAUCAUUAAUCCACAGUAAAAGACGUGUAUUAUUACAUUAUUUUUCAAAUUUCGAGUACUUUAAUUUUCAAAUGUAAGAAAUAGUCUAAUUAAUGUUACAUGUUUAAAUAAAUAAUAUAAAAAGAUCAGCACACAAUAUCGCUUUUCAAUUUACAGCAAUUUAGAGCCAUUAGAGAAAACAAAUAUGUUAAAAAAUUUUAUAAUAAUUAUAUAUACACUAAACAUGGAUAUAUUAGUAAAAUAACAAACUAAUUAUUCUUUUAAAAAGGAAAUAGACUCAUAAUGUAGCACACAUAGAAGACAAAAGUAAGCUCAUGUUUAUAGAAUAUAUAUAUAUAUAUAGAAUGAAAAGUAUAAUAAUAAAAAUAAGGGAAUUAAAAUUUUUCCAAUAAUUAUAUAAACUAAAUAUGUAUAUAUAGACUAAUAUAUAUCCUUCUAAUUGUAUGUUUGAAAAAGCUAUAGAAUUAGAAACCAUUUUUAGUUGAAACGUAUAUGGCAUCUUAACCAAUUUUGCUUACUUAUAUGACGAUAAUGUUGGACUUGUUUUUUUUUCCCUCUAGCUCAAGAAUUACAGCAUAAUCGCUUGACCAAAAUGGAGCUAUUCAUUAUCCAAUUCUCCCUUUUAUAUAUUUAGAUUAGAUAUAUAUAUAUUGGAGAGCCUGAUAGAGAUUUUCUUCUUUUUUUUUUCUUUUUUUUAUGGUUUUCUUGGUGAGGCGGCCCGGGGUGGGUUGUAUUGGAGAAGAUAAAAGGGCAUAUGGCAGAGCUCUAAAACAAGGCCUGCAGCAUUACUUACAAUAGAGAGCGUACAGGUACAGCUCUCUUUUGUGAGUCCUAGCCCGUGUAGCCCACAUAGCACAAUAAUACAGCUAACAAGCCUCAGUCACAGCCAGACCUUUUUAUUGCCACUGGCCAUUUGGUCUAGUGGUCAUCACCAUUAAAGGUGAUGCUGGAGGUCAGGGGUUCAAUCCCUGCCUCCCACAAAUUUGUCACAAUUUGUGGCGGUCUUAAUUGACCUUCAUCGAUGGAGUCUGUACUCACAUCGAACCCCCUCCCUUUCCCCUUAGACUAGGCUAGAUUAGGUUAUAGGACAUCUAUCGUUUCGAUAAAAAAAAAAACAGCCAGACCUUUUUAUUGAAAUAUAAUGCCAAGAGCCAUCUUAAUAAUUGUUAAUGUCUUUUUCCAGCAAAAGAGAAUCAAUGAAAUAGCCAGCUUAACCGAUUCUUCCUAAAGCCAGAGCCAGCCACAUGACAAAAGACCAAAAUGCCGCUUGACAAUUGCCCUCAAAGUUGCCCAAAAUUACGUGAUAACCGCUUGACCAAAAUUGCACUGUUCAUUAUCCAACUCCCGUUUUUAUAUAGUUAGAUAUAGAUAUAUAUUAGAUACAGAUAUUAAUAAAAGUCAAGAUAUAUUGAUGAAUCUUUGUAAUUAAUAAUGAACACGAUGUUGACAAAAAAAAGUCAAUGGCAGUAGGCAGAAAAGCAGGCAUCAAUGUGCACCAUGUUGAAGGUAACCAUGGUAUAGAUAUAGAUAUUUGUAAUUAACAAGGUAUACCGUGUUGAUCAAUAAAAGUCAACGGCGGGUAAUCACAGAGGAGCUAGAAACCAAAAUGAAAUGAAGGAGAUCAGUAAAUUAAUCACAAGAUGCCCUGAACUUAUAAGGAAGACAAUUAGUGCAAUAAUACACCAUAUUUUAUAGAUGGGAAUCUGCAAGUGGUGGAGUCGGGUAAGAAAAAUUAAGACUCUGCUGAUGCAAUUGUUGGGCUCCAAGCUUCAAAAUAAUGCACUGAUGAGAAUAAUGAGUUGGAGCCAGCAAAAUGAAUUCGAUCAUUUGCAGUAUGAUUAUUGUGGUUAUUUAUUAGUGUGAACACGCGUGAUUGGAAUGAGCAUUUGUUUAUUUAUGCAGAAAAAGUGAUAUUGUUAACGUUAUUUUUUCUAAAUAGCAGCUCGCACAACUAAUUCUAAUGCUUCGCCCAAAUUAAAAAAUAGCUUUUCACUAUUUUAGCAUAGAUAUAGAUAUAGAUACUUGCAAUGCUUUUUCGGCUAAAAUGAGGUUGUACUUUAUUACUCUUAUUAUUAUGUUUUUCUUUUGGUCAAAUGAUGUCGUACUCAAAUAGAGAGGAAUUUGCCAAGGAAUAUAAGGGUUUGAAGAAGCACGGGACUUCCCCUGACCGAGCUGACCUGGUGAGCUCGGUGUGCCGAUGGAAGAGCUGGUCCCAAUCCUGCAAAACAAACAAGGGUAAACUAGCAGUGGGGGCCCGAGGGUUGUCCCCGAGGGCGCUCCGACGGUCAAAUUAGUUCCUGGCCGGCGGACGGAGCGGUUUUUGAUAAUGUAUUGUACGAGCAAUCUGCUAAUAGCGAGCGUCCCUUGCACAGUUGGUAUGUGCUACCAUUUAUACCCGCUUAGGAGUCCGACCUCCGUACGUUUCGGGACUUGCCCUGAAUAGCUCCCAAUCCCGUUCCUGGGGGGAUCCUCCCGCCCUCUGCGGGGCAGCUCUUGGGAGCAUCCCGGAGCCCUAAUGGCCGAGCCCUCUUGGACUGGUUCCCAGUGGGCCCAAGGCGCGAGCCCAGCUCGGAUUGCCCCUGGGCUGACACGUGUACGGGCCCAGGAUGGGGCCUCUGCACUAGCCCCCUAGAUUAGGUCAGGCUCCCGGGCAGACCUGGUCUAUCCCCUAGCCACGUGGAAGCCCAUCAUUACACUGCUCUGCCGCGGUCACCUCCAGCACAGGGCUGUUAUUGGGAAGCGUCGCCCGCGUACUUUCAAUGGUCGCGUCCCUUCGGUUUCCGUACCUCCCUUAAGUGCGUUCACAUGGGGCGGUUCAAAUUCAAGCAAACCGUUUCCCCCCAUUUCGUCCCCUAUAAAUAGUGGCUGCCAAAAUCCGGUAAACUCUAUUUGCCAUUUUCUCUUUCCCCAUGCGUUUACAACUUCAGUAGUGCAUUUCCGGCCAACCAGGACCCAGAUUCCGGCGACCCUUCCCCCCCUUUUCUACUCCAGUCAUCAGUAAGUGUUUCCCCCUCCUUUCUCGCAUUUUCUUUCUUCCUCUUGCCGUCCUCUGCGUUUGUAUGUCGGGCCUCUCCGACGUGACUUCCUCCAACUCCCAGACUCCCCCCCGCCGUAAAGCCACCAGGAUCUUCAUUUCCUCCUCAUCUCCAUCUUCAUCAUCUCCCUUUCCUCCUCCUUCUUCAUCUUCUGCUUCCAACCCUAACUUUCCCCUUCCCGACUUGCUCGAGCUCAUCGACAUCAUGAGUUCCCCAUCUGCCCACUCCCCUUCUGCCCGGCUCCUGGAGGAGGUGGCCGAGCUUGACGCCCUCAUCAGGCGGCAAGCCGUCUCCACCCCUCCUCCCCAGUCCCCUAACGAUUCCCCCGGCGGAGCCCGGGGUGGAGCUGGGGAGGACCGGGGCUCCUCUGGGGGGAUCCCCGCUUCCGAGCAGGGGGAGGACCCCGAGUUCUCCUACGGGCAUCCUGACCUGCAGGAGGCCACCCUAUCGCCCCAGGCUGUGGCCGAGCUGGCCAAGUCUUAUUCCAUCCCUCCGGCCUACGAGCCGAGGGCGGCCGGGCCCGGCGAUUGGGCCUGCAGACCUCCCUCCGGCUUCGUUGCCAUCUACAGGGAGCAGCUCAUCGCAGGGUUUCGUCUCCCCAUUCCUUCAGCUCUAACCGAGAUUCUGAGCUACUGGGGGCUCAGAAUCACUCAAGUCCACCCCACCUCCAUCAGGAUCAUUACCGGAUUCCUGAUCUACUGCCUGCUCCGCGAUAUCCCCUACUCCCUUUCCCUCUUCCGGGCUGCCUUCAUACUUAAGGCCGCCCUACCCGGGUGGUACUACUUCUCCCGCCGCGGUCCCCAAACCCGGGGAGGGAAAGGCGCCCAAAAGCUAUUCCACGGGGUCCCUUCUUCCGUAAAAAGUUGGAAGGAAGACUUCUUCUUUGUUAAGUCCACCCAUUUUCCCCCCAACGUGUGGAAGGUUGGAAAAGUCCAAGCCGAUUCCUUCCCGGAGGACCUGGACUAUGAAACCCUCAGCCAGCUGUCGGAAUCCCUGGUGAAGCUUGACGCCACCAAGUUCUCUACAGCACAGAUCUCCGCGGCCGGGCUGAUGGGGACGUUGUCUGAAUCCUCCGGGGAGGUGGUGACCCCCGAGCCCAACCUCGACACCUGUAACGCCAACUUUGCCCUUUUUGCCUGUUGUAUCCACAGCAUGUCGUAAUGCUAUAGGCUGUCCGGCCUUUUACUGACUUAGCCGUGUUUUCUGCAGUGAGGAAGCUCUCCCUGCUGCUGGGCCUGCCUGCCGAGGAGGACACCCCCGCUUCCCAUCCAGACGAGGAAGCCCCCGGGGCGCCUCCGACCUCGGGGGGAGGCCAAGCCCCCCAGACACAAACGCAAGACACCUCCUCCCCCUCCAAGAAGGCCGCCAACAACAAGAAAAAGGCGACCGGGCAGAAGAGGGGUCGAGCCGACGAGCCCUCCCAGCCCGGGAAGAAGCUCGCGCUGGUUCCGGUCCAGCCUCCUCCCCUCCGGAUGUCUUCGGGGGGUCCAGUCCAUUUGGGCGUCGGCUCCGCCGAGGAGCACGCCCUGCAGGCCCCCCCGAGCUCGUGGCACUUCCGCCACGUGGCCCCCCUGAAGCCGGGCCAGGCCCCCACUAUGCACGACCCCCGCCGUUUCUGCCCGUCCUGGGAGCUCUCCAUCAACGACCGAGCCCAAUUCCCCGAGGUGGCUCGCCAGUGGGUGACGGGCUCGGUCCUCCCCCGGGACAGGAGGUGGAUGGAGCUAGCCUCCCCCUCCGAGCUCCAGGAGGUGUACUGCACCUCCCAGGCCCAAGUAAGUUUUCCGACCUCAGAGCCGUCCUUGCUUUUGACCCCUCACUCGGCCGCACCUCAGACUAACUCCUUCCUUUCUCCAGGCCCACGCUGCUGGAGCCGCCUUGCUGUCUCGCUUCUCCGAGCUAUCUCCCGAUUUGGAGAAACUGCAGAAACAGAAAAGGGAGGCGGAGCAAAGGCUCACUCAGGCCCUCAAGGAGGCGGACUCCCUUGCGGCCAAGCUGGGCAAAGCCGAGAAGGAACUGGAAACGGCCCAAGUCCAGCUCGCCUCCACAAGGUCAGAACUCGACCAGGAGAAGGCCGGCGUGGCCAAGCUGAGAGAAGACCACGCCAUCGAGCUCUCGGGCACCGUCGGCAGGGAGCGCAAGAAGGCCGUCCGGGAGUUCAUCUCCUCUGACCAGUUCAUCCAGGACGUAGCGCUCCUCAACGGGCCCAUCGCCCAAGUUGGCUUCGCGCGCGCCCUGAGCAGGGUCAAGGAGCUCGGCCUGCCUGGCUUCGACCUGGCCGCCUUCAAGGAGUACGACCCCAAGGCCGAGGAGAAGGUGGACUGGCUCUUCGACGGGUAUUGCAAGGGACACGCCCUGAAAGAGCUGGUGCGCCGGAAGGACGUUGGGGCCGACCUUGAGGAGCUGCCCCUAGAGAAGGACGGGGACCCGGGCCGAGCUCCGGGGAAGGAGCCGGUAGCCUAGGCAGCCAAGUUUCCUUUUUCUUCAGUAGGCAGUGUAAUAGAUAGGCCGAUAUCACACCUUUUGUAAUAGAUAGGCCUUAAGUAUAUAUACAAAAUUCGAAGCAAGUCUUCUUGCGACUCUUUUCGCACCUGACUUAUGACCCCACCCCUCAAGCCGAACACGUUAAAACUGUGCCGGCCUUCUGGGUCGAGCACCAUACCUUCCAAGUAUCCCCAUCGCGCCGACCUACUGGGUUGAUCACGUCUGAGAUUGUGCCGACCUCCUGGAUCGAGCAUCAAACCCUCCAAAAUCCUCAUCGCGCCGACCUCCUGGGUCGAACAUGUUUAAGACUGUGCCGACCUCCUGGGUCGAACACGUUUAAGAUUGUGCCGACCUCUUGGGUCGAGCACCAAACCUUCCAAGUAUCCCCAUCGCGCCGACCUACUGGGUCGAUCACGUCUGAGAUUGUGCCGACCUCCUGGGUCGAGCGUCAAACCUUCCAGGACACAAAACACCCACUACUAUUCCCCUAGCCCCCCACUAGGACAUUUAGAUAGGGACGCUAAGUGUUCUAGUGCGAAAUCAAAGCUCAGAAGGCAAAGAAGUACAAAUGAAACAAGAAACUUGAAAGUCGAGCCUUUAUUGAAUCACAAAACUGAAAUUCGAAUUCCGCAGAACAAACGACCGUCCACCCUGGUCUAACCUAUGCUACAAACAGUCGCAGGUUGGAAAAGUGCCAAGUGCGGGGUACCUCAGAUCCGUUCAUGUUGGCGAGUUUACAGUAACCUGCUCGGCCCACCCCAAGGACCUUGUAGGGGCCCUCCCAGUUUGGGUCGAGCUUGUUGGAGCUGUGAGCUCGGCUGACCGAAUUCUUCCUUAGGACAAGGUCCCCGGGCUGGUAUUGGGUAGCCCUUACUUUGGCAUUGUGAUAACGAGCGAGCUGGCCUUUAUACUUAGCCAUGCGAACCGCCGCUUCCUCACGCUUAACCUCGAGCAUGUCCAAGUUGUACCGGAGCUCUUCCUCAUUGGACGUCGCCACGAAGUUCUGUGUUCUGGGCGAAGGGAGACCGACCUCCGCGGGCACCACUGCCUCUACUCCGUAAGUUAAAGAAAACGGGGUCUCAUGGGUGGCCGUCCGGGGCGUAGUGCGGUAAGCCCAGAGGACACUGGGGAGCUCGUCCAGCCAGCUCGACUGGGCGGACGCCAACCUGGUCUUCAAUCCCUGCAGAACGGUUCGGUUAGCGUUCUCCACCUGACCAUUGGCCUGGGGGUGACCAACUGACGUGAAGUGUUGGUUGAUCCCGAGCUCGACGCACCAGCUCCGGAAGGGGUUCUCAGCGAACUGGCGGCCGUUGUCGGAUAUCAAGACGUGCGGGAUGCCGAAACGGCAGACAACGUUCCUCCAAAAGAAUUUCUGGAUCGCCUUUCCCGAGAUGGAGACUAGGGGCUCUGCCUCUAUCCACUUGGUGAAGUAGUCAAUAGCCACCACGAGGUGCUCGUACCUUCCUGGAGCUCGGGGGAAUGGUCCCAGGAGGUCUAUUCCCCAUUGAGCGAAAGGCCAGGGACUGUGAAUGGGGAUCAUUUCCCGAGCUGGCUGGUGACGUAAUGAAGCGUGCACCUGGCAGGCUCGGCAUCUCUGUACCAGCUCUGCGGCGUCACGGAAGACGGAGGGCCAAUAAUAGCCCAGGAGGAGGCACUUUUUGGCCAGCACCCGGGACCCCACAUGUGCCGCACAUAUACCUUCAUGGGCUUCACGCAGGACGUAGUCUCCUUCCUCGGGAGUCAAAAACUUUAGCCAGGGGGACAAGUACGACCUCCAGUAGAGGGUUCCCCCGGCGUAGGCGUAUUUGGCAGCUCGGACUUGGAUUUGUCGAGCCUCAAUUUUGUUCUCAGGGAGGGUACCCGAGCUGAGGAAGUCAACGAGGGGAGCCAUCCAGGUGGCCGAGCUAUCCACCGCCAGGACCUGGACCUGGCCGAUACUCUUCUGCUUCACCACCUCCACCAAGACCUCCUUGCUUAGGUGGGCGAACGAGGAGGACGCCAGCUUGGACAAGGCGUCCGCGCGCUUAUUUUGGGACCUUGGCACCCGCUCGAUCUCAAAAUUAUCGAACAGGGCCACCGCCUCUCGUACCUUGGCUAGGUAUUUCUUCAUUACCUCGUCCUUGGCCUCAUACUCCCCACGGAUUUGGAGGACGACGAGCUGAGAGUCGCUUCGAACCCGGAUCGCGGUAAUGCCCAUCUGGUGGGCUACCCGCAAUCCCGUCAACAGGGACUCGUACUCCGCCUCAUUGUUGGACGCGGGGAAAUCAAACCUGAGCGCAUAAGUCAGUUCUUCCCCUGUGGGCGAGGUGAGCAACAGGCCAGCCCCGCUGCCCUCCUUGCUCGAGGCGCCGUCCACGAACAACACCCACGGCUCCAUUGUCGGGGUGUCCGGGGGUGUUGGGACUAGUUCCGCCGGGGUCAGGCUAGCUCCUUCGGCCAGGAAGUCCGCCAAGGCCUGAGCCUUAAUCGCGGUACGGGGCCGAUAACUGAGGUCGUGUUCGGCCAGCUCGACGGCCCAUUUGGUCAUCCUGCCCGAGACCUCGGGCUUAGUGAGUAUCUGGCGCAAGGGCUGGUUGGUCAAGACUGCGAUGCUGUGAGCUUGGAAGUAAGGCCGGAGCUUGCGAGCAGCGUGCACUAAGGCCAGAACCAGCUUCUCGGCCGGGCUGUAUCGCGUCUCUGGCCCUUGUAAUGCUCGGCUGACGUAGUACACCGGUCUCUGAGUCCCCGCGUCCUCCCGUACCAAGACCGCACUGACGGCCUCGUUGCAAGUGGACAGGUAUAGGAAUAGUGUCUCCCCCAGCUCAGGGGCGGUCAGGGCGGACAGCUCGGCCAGAUAGGCCUUGAGGUCGGCGAAAGCUUUCUGGCACUCCUCGGUCCAGUGAAAGUCCUUUGGCCCUUUCAAGAUCCGGAAAAAGGGGAGCCCCCGAACCGCGGAGCGCGAGAGGAACCUGUUUAGGGCAGCCAUCCUCCCUGUGAGUCGUUGGACUUCCUUCACGUUCCUCGAAGGGGCCAUGUCCAUAAUGGCCUGUAGUUUGUCCGGGUUGGCCCGGAUUCCAUCUCGGGAUACCAGAAAACCGAGGAACCUCCCCGACCUGACCCCAAAGGUGCACUUCUUCGGAUUUAUGCGCAUCCGGCUCUCCAGCAGGAUUUCCAGAAUCUCCUUUAGGUCGGGUAUAAGGCGCUGAUCAACCCGGCUUUUAACUAUCAUGUCGUCCACAUAGACCUCCAUGCUUUUACCGAUCUGGCCUUGGAACAGCUUGUUGACCAGGCGCUGGUAGGUAGCCCCCGCGUUCUUCAAGCCGAAUGGCAUGGUUCGGUAACAGUAGGUCCCCUCCUCGGUGAUGAAGGAGGUCUUAUCUCGAUCUUCCUCAGCCAUUUCUAUCUGGUGAUAUCCCUUAAAGGCAUCCAGAAAGCACAAAACGUCAAAACCCACGGUAGAAUCUACUAACCUGUCGAUCCUUGGCAGGGGAAAGCAGUCCUUUGGGCAGGCAUUGUUAAGGUCCGUGAAGUCCACGCACAUCCUCCAGGUCUGAUCCUCCUUUUUGACCAGGACAGGAUUGGCCAACCAGGUCGGGUAGUGGACCUCCAUGAUGAUCCUCGACUCCAGUAACUUGCCGACCUCCGCCUUGAUCACCUCAUUUCUCUCGGUAGCGAAGCUCCUUUUCUUCUGCUUUACCGGCUUGAAGUGAGGAUCCACGCCAAGGUGGUGGACUGCCAGGUCCGUUGGAAUCCCAGGCAUGUCGUCCACUGACCAGGCGAAGACCUGGGAGUAUUCCCUCAAUAGAGCUUUCAAACCCUCCUUCUCCUUGGCGGGCAACAGGGCUCCAAUGCGGAGAACCUGAUCGGGCCGAUCCUCCCUUAAGGGGAACUCCUCCACCUCAUCUUGGGUACCCAGUUGCUGGGCCUCAUCCCCUGGGAUGUAGGGUUCCAAACAGGUUGUCUGGGCGACCACCUUCUCCUGCCCCCGAAGCGUGGCCAGGUAACAUGCCCUGGCUACCGCUGGGUCGCCCCGCACCUCGGCUAUUCCCCCAGGGGUGGGGAACUUGAUGCUGAGGUGGAAAGUAGAGGAGAUAGCCCGGAGGGCGUUCAAAGCGGGUCUCCCCAAGAACAAAUUGUACGGGGACGACUGCUUGACCACCACGAAAUCAACGAGGAUGGUCCGGCACCUGGGGGCCUGUCCUACUGUGACCAUCAGGGUGAUCAUCCCCUCCAAGCUGAUGGGUGGUCCGGUGAAGCCCACCAGAGGCGUCCGGACCGGGGUCAGCUGGUCGUCCCUUAGUCCGAGCUCCUUGAACACCCUAUAGAACAUAAUGUCAACCGCGCUACCCUGGUCGACAUACACCUUCCUCACCCGAUAGUUGUUGGUGACGAUGUCUAUCACGAUGGCUUCGUGGUUCCCUGCGGCCAGGGGGACUGCAUCCCUGGGUCCAAAGGUAAUUUCCUCGUCCAUGCGCAAGCGCUUCAAGGAGUCGUCCCCCUCGGUGGGAGGUCGCUUGUUCUUCCGAGCCGCAUGACUGUCCCCCCCCGUGGGGCCUCCGGCGAUGGUGUUUAUCACCCCCGCCAGGUUCUGGGUGUCCCGGUCGGGAGAGCAGUCCCGAGGGGCGUCACGCCGCUCCGGGCGGUCGCGCCGCCGUCCCUCGUGCCUAUCUCCGUAGUGGUUGCGUCCAAGCCCCUGACCUGGUCGGCGCACGAACCCCCCUAGAAAACCGCGCUGGAUCAGGUCCUCGAUCUCCUUGCGCAGGGCCCAGCACCCCUCCGUGUCGGGCCCGACGUCGCGGUGGAAGGCGCAGUACCGGUCCUGGUUCCUUUUGUUCCGGGGCGUCCCCAUCUUGGGCGGCCGAUCUCCCAGCCCUUCCGCCUCCAUAACGGCUAAGAUCUGGGCUCUGGGCCGUGUUAGAGGGGUGUAGGUCUUCUCUGGGAGGGGCGGCGGAGCUGGUGCCCUAUCCUUGGAGAGACGGUCGAAGACGUUCUUCCUGACUUGGCCGUCCUUAGAUUCAGGAGGGUUUGCCCGUCCUUUCCUGUCCCCGAACUCCCGAUCUGAUUCCCGUUUCAGGCGGCCGGCCUCCUCUGCAUUGGCGGCGGCGUGAGCCCGGGUCAAGAGCUCUCCCAGGUUCUUGGGAGGUUGUUCGACAAGCUUGUAGUAGAGAUCCUCUACCCUCAACCCGUUCAUGAAGGCGGCCAUGACUACCUUUUCGUCCUUAUCCCUGAUCUGCAGGCUCUCUGUGUUGAAGCGCGUCAUGAAGUUCUUCAGGGACUCAUCCGGGUUCUGCUUAACGGCCAUCAGGUGGGCCGCAUUCUUCGAGUAGGUCUUCGAGGAAACGAACUGGGCGGCGAACUGUCUGGCCAGCUCGGUGAAACUCUGAAUAGAUCCCGGUGCCAGACCCUGAAACCAGAGCCGCGCCUUACCCUUGAGAAACAUGGGGAAGGUCUUGCAGCGGAGGGCAUCCGCGGCGUUUUGCAGACGCAUGUGCGUCAGGAAGACCGAGAGGUGGUCCUCCGGGUCGGUCGAACCAUCGUACAGCUCGAUGUUCGGGAUUUUAAACCUCCGGGGUAACGGGUAGUUCUCGACCUCCCGGGUGAAGGGCGAGGCUGCGUAGUUGUCCCCGUACGGUUGUGGUCGCAGGAUCUGCUCGAGCUCAUCCCGGACGGGCUGCCACUGGGGUGGGUCGCGCGGGCGACUCCUGACAGAUCGGGCGGGGGAGCGUGCGAGCCCAUUUCGCGUAGGUUUCCGUGGGGAGGGGUCCCUUGGUCGGCUCCCCACGGACCGGUCGUGGGAGUACCUCUCGCUAUCCCCGACCACCGAAGCUCGGUGACGAGGGGGAGUCCGCGGCCGUUUCCUCCUAGGGGGCUGGUCCUGUGACCCAUCCUCCGAAGGGUCAGGGAUCGACUCCUUCUCCUUCCCCUUCCCCUGGACUUUGGAAGUUGGUGCGCCCCCCGCCUCCUUUCCUCCUUUUGCCUGCCGGAUUAUAUCCUCCAGCAUGGGGAGAUUCUCUGUCACGAACUGGAGCAUCUGCCGUCUCCGGUCCCCUGAGAGGGCCGAGCCCCCAGCGCCCCCGGCCGCUUCGUUCUCCUCUCGACGGGACCCCUCCCCGGCCCCGGCUCCGGUGCUUUCAACGGUUUGCUUGGACCGUGUCCUCGCCAUCAACACUAACAAUUACCUUUCGGUUCCCACAGACGGCGCCAACUGAAGAAGCACGGGACUUCCCCUGACCGAGCUGACCUGGUGAGCUCGGUGUGCCGAUGGAAGAGCUGGUCCCAAUCCUGCAAAACAAACAAGGGUAAACUAGCAGUGGGGGCCCGAGGGUUGUCCCCGAGGGCGCUCCGACGGUCAAAUUAGUUCCUGGCCGGCGGACGGAGCGGUUUUUGAUAAUGUAUUGUACGAGCAAUCUGCUAAUAGCGAGCGUCCCUUGCACAGUUGGUAUGUGCUACCAUUUAUACCCGCUUAGGAGUCCGACCUCCGUACGUUUCGGGACUUGCCCUGAAUAGCUCCCAAUCCCGUUCCUGGGGGGAUCCUCCCGCCCUCUGCGGGGCAGCUCUUGGGAGCAUCCCGGAGCCCUAAUGGCCGAGCCCUCUUGGACUGGUUCCCAGUGGGCCCAAGGCGCGAGCCCAGCUCGGAUUGCCCCUGGGCUGACACGUGUACGGGCCCAGGAUGGGGCCUCUGCAGGGUUCAAAUUUUAUCUAUUAGAAACCAGCUUCCUUAAUUUCAAAGACAGAAGAUGAUUAGAGAUCCCCUACAUUAAUAAAGAAAAAAAAAACGCCAACCAAUCGUUCUUGAUUGCCCACUUGUUGCUAAAUCUUAUCGUCAGCAUUGGUUCUUAGUUGCCUGCAUACUUCUCAUCUUUUAAUUUUUCAAUUAAUUAGACUGGAAAUGAAUACGAGUUCCACUUCUUUGCUAAAAAAGUUAUUAGCAGAAGUAAAAUUUAUUAGCAGAAGUUAUUUUAUAGCCCAUGAUCCCGUGUGCAAUAUUGCAAUGCAACAUGGGCAAAUAGCUAAGCGAGAAGACAAAAGAGAUAGAGAUGCCGAGCCUUAGCACCUAGAAUGAGAAAUAGAUGUUUUAGUCAUUCAGUUAUAUCAGAUUGAUUAAUUAGAGUUAUCACGGGAAAAUUUGGCAUCUAAAAUACAAGUUUUUUGAACUUAUUUCACAUAUAAGUAGUAAUAUACUAGUAAUGAAGAAUGUAAACCUGUAAAGGGUUUGUCUAGUUGGUAGUGCACCAAAUAAGAGGUGGAUCCAAAGUAAUUUUUUCCUAUCAAAGUGUUGCAACUUAAGUGGUGAAUGAUAAUUUUAAAACUUUAAUAGUUCACCUACCUUCUUGUUUUAAUUAUAUUUAAAUCAUAUAUAUCUACCUUGUAUAUAAAAAGAAAGCCAAGUUACUGUAGCUAACCAUCUUUUUGACACAUGUAUUGUAUAUAUUUUUGACAAGUGGACCUUUGAUUAUUUUACCAAAAUUUUUUCCUUCCCCUUUCUUGAUUCAAUUGGACUAAAGGAUUAAAAUAUUUUUUCUCCUUGAGAAAAUCAACUCCAUCUCUUCUUUUUCUUCUUGCAGUAACUACUGUCAUCCCUCACCUUUUUUAUUUUUUAUUUUUUAAAACUAAUCUAACUAAGAUUGUUGCCAUGUUCUUUUUUUUUUUUUUUGUCAAGAUGAUAACUACUUAGCAAAAAGAAUUCUUUAUUAUUUUUUAUCCCAUUUUACAUUUUCUUUUCUUCCUUUUUUUCUUCAUCUCUAAUCUCUCAUGUUUGCUCUAUUUUUUUUUAUCAUAAUGUUAUAGCCAACUGGCAUUUGUUUGUUAAAUUUAUAGGAUGAUGUUUUACUUGGUAGUUCUUCAUGGAUAAAAGGUGAAAUAUUAAAAUAUGUAUAAAAAAAAUUUAGAAUUCAUUUUAUACCAAUGAUCAUUUUCUAUGAAUAAUAGAACAAAAAUUCAUUCUUUUAUUUUCUUCUCCUAUGAUUUGAUUUCUUACUUCACAUUUUGUUUCCUUUUCUUUGUUUUUUGGUUACAUUUUGUAAUUAUCUACAAUUUUCUGUAUUUGUUUAGGAGAAAGAUAUAUCAUAUGAUGUUUCCACCAAGAUAAAUCUAGCUAGGCAUUUUUGUUUGUUUUUUAAUUACUCAAGUGUUGUAGUAUGAAUUGGGUUGGUAUACAAGGAUUGCAGUCGGUGGUGGAAGUCACAAUUGAGGCUUUCGGCCUAGAGUGUGACUUGACAAAAAAUUGUUAGAAAUUUCAAUUUUGAUUAGGAAGAUGUUUUUGCAAUAAAAAAAUAGUUCAAUUCUAAUUUGUAUAUGUAGACCAGGAAACAUGGCAAUUCAUAUUUUUAUCUAACCUUGCUAUUUAUAUUCAGGAGCUGCAGGAUAAUGUUAUCACCUUUAGGCAGAAUUUAAAUAGAUGAACUGGAUUCUUCUAUCAAAAGAAAGAAAAAUAUGCAAGUUUAUAGUAAGCUAUAUUGAUGUUGAAGAUUGUGCCAUGUUUUAGUAGCUUCCUAAAUUUUUUCUCAUUAUUAAAGUACUAAAAGUAUUACGACUGCUUUUGAUUUAGUUUUAACUAAAACUAUACUACUAUUAAUACACCAAUGCACUUAUAGUCUAUUAAGUUUCUCUCCUUUUUGGGUAUCAUCAUAAUAGUGGUUCAAAAAUCUUUAUUCAAAUCACAAUAAAUAGAGAGGUUGACUUCAUAGAUGGAAUUUCUCUUCACAACAAAUUUUGAGAGAAAUUUUAUUUAUACUCCAUAUUGUGUUAAUUGUGUUCCUACAAAAAACAAAAACUAUACGAUAAAAAUAAUAGCGAAAGUAUGAUUAACAAAAAUGAGAGUUCAAAUAAUAUUUGUCAAAUUUAAUUGCUUUGAUGCUCAAUUUUUCUCAUAUAUUUCUAUUCAUUCAUCAUGUGUCAAAAUAAUUUGAUGCUAUGCAUUCGACGGGCAACGGGCAUUUUGGUCAUUUUACACAGCGCGUAACUUUGAUUGCACACGACGUAACUUUGUUUGCACAACGUGUAACUUUAGUACAAAAAAUUACGGGCCCCACACACGUGAAAAUCGAUGUACAACUUGUAAUCUGGACCGCACAUUUUUUUUGACCAAAAUCUAGCCGUUGACUGUUCAGGCAUUCAGGGACGGUCCCUGCCCCUUGUCCGCAUUCGACUAAAUUUCUAGGGGGCCCAAACUGUGCUUUGCACAGUUCAAGUACCUCUAGUAUAUAUAUAUAUAUUAAAUAUCCAAUAAUUCUGGCAUGUCCACGUGGAACAAGCUAAGAAUCUUCUGUUAGAAAUAUCUUCAUUGAACCACUUUUUACUCUUUUCUUGUUAUAUUCCUACAAUCAACAUCAAUUGCCAAAUAUGAGUUUAAUCAAUCCAAUAAUGCAAUAUUUAGCCAAAAUCACAAGAAAAUAUUAACAAUUUCAAUAACCACUAUGCACCCUAUAACAGUCUAACAGUUAUGUGAUUAAUGACCGGAAGAAUGAUUGGUGUAUGUUAAUUUGUCACAAAUAUUUGUAAAAUGAGCAAAACUUAGGAUCCAAUAGCUUGUAUACUUGCAAGAAACUACUACACAAACAAACGAUAAUUCUUUUGGCCGGAUUGUGAUCAAAGCAUCUUAGUAUAAGCUAGAAUCUUGUACUAAUUGAUGACAAACAUCUAUGAAAUAGUUAGAGACUUACUCUCAUCCUAGCAAAUCAAUUUCUUAACUUGAGGUGUAUAUGAUAAAAAAUUUGAGUUUCUGUUUAAAAAGUAUAAUUUGUGAAUUGCUAGGUUUUAUUUUUUAUUGGUUAAUAACUUUCAAAUAUUAGAUUCAUGGUUUCUUUUUAGAAAUUCCUAUAUUUUAUUUGAUAUAUUUACUUUAAUUUGACUAGAGCUGGCAAUUUGUCCCAAGUCCCAAUGGGCUACCCAUGCCCAAAGGAACUUUGGGCGGGAUGGGUAUUAUAAUUUGGUAUUGGGUUUAAGUUGGGAUACAUCCCAACUAUACCCAUUAAUGAAUGGGAAAGGGUGGGAAAUACUUGGGUAUCCAUUGGGCUCAAACAGCAAGGGCUCCGUUUGGAUUAGCUGUUUUUAGGGGGUGUUUUUGAAAUAUUUUAUUGUAGUAGUGUAUAUAAAAAAAUUUUACUAUAAAAUUUUUUUGAAAUAUUUGAUAUACUAAUAUGGAUGGGAUGUUUCUUGAGUUAUUGUAUAUUACUAUUUGAAAAACUUAUUUUUUGAAAAAAUACCCAAUCCAAACGGAGUCUUAGAUUCAAAAAUUAUCUUUAACAAUUUUUAUAGUCAUACCAGCGAAUAUAAUCUAGUAGUCUUUCUAAUCAUUAUCCACAAGAAUUUCCAGCAUUUUAAUCAAUUUAGACCUGUCAUCCUUGGACAAUGAUGAGGAUAAAUAUUCAACAUCUUAAGGAAUUUGGCCAUCUUGAUAUAUGUUGGAAUAUGGCUGUAUAUCUAUCUUUUUCUUUAUUUGUUAAUCCAAUUUUUGGUGGGAAUCUUGAGUAUAAAGCAUUUGCAUGUUUAUUUAAUAAAACUAAAAGAAAUUUAAUAAAUCAAAAAUAUUAAAAUUAUAUAAAAAUAAAAAAUGAAUUAAAGGAAAAAAAAUAUGUAGAAAAUGGAUUUGGGUAUUGGGCGGGAUCAAUCUAAACCCAUCCUAAAGUGAUCCCGCCCAAAUUAGUCCCAAAACAUAUAUGGGUAAGGUUGGGUCCAAACCCAUAUGACUCGGUUUCAUCUCAAACCCAAGCAAAUCCCGCAUAUCCCGCCCAUUUUGCCACCUCUAAAUUUGACAUAUAAGCAUUAUUCAAUGUAAUAUGCAGUAAGUUUUUUCCAGCUUCCGAUAUUGUCAAAAUUUUAUUUUCUUUUGCAAGUCAAAAUCAAAUUAGGAUUUGUUAUGCCUUAUGUUAUGUCCAGAACCUAGUAGAAUUAGAUUGAGUAGCAUUACCUUAUUUGGUAGAAACUAUGUUUCAUUAAGUAAUUUCCAUUCCAAAUCUAACUAUAUUUCAUAAGAAAAAUGUAAUAUACUUCUCUUCCUAAAAUAAAUACUUAACAAUGAUAUUACACAGUUACCCUCAACAAUAUCUAUAAGUCAUUCAAAUUUAGAGCUAGCCAUAAUUUGUUAUGGGAGGGUUAAUGUUGGAAAGAAAAAACUAAUUUUUACAAUAAUUAAUAAAGUAGAAAUAGUUCUUAAAUUUCCUUUUACAAUAUGGUUCCCUUUUUUUGGGUUUAACUUUGUUUUACAAUAUGGUAUAUGGUUUCGUUUUUUUUUUUUUUUGGUUUAACUUUGUUUGGAAUUCCUUUCUUUUUAGAAUACUAAAUUUUAGAAGACAAUAAUUACAUCAACACUAAUAUCCAUAAAUAUCCCCCCCCCACCAAUUCGUAUUUGAAAUUUAAGAUGUGCUUCAUUAUUUCAUUAUACAAGGGCAUUACUAGAAAGUGAAAACUAAAUUACUAAAACACCAAAUCACUUUGGUGCUUUUAAUAUAUAUGCAUAUAUGUAUGUAUGUAAGUAUAUAUGUAUGUGAUAGACAUUUGCACAGUGAGACUUAUUUGGCAUCUAGUCCAACAAAGCUAACAAGGCAAGCACAAAAUUAAAAACAUAAAAAUAAAACGCCUUGAAAAAUAUUAGAUAGAGAUUCAAGGGAUUGUCAACCAUGGCAUUCCAAAAGAAAAGGAAAACAACAAAUUAAAGAGGAGAAUCAUCGAGGACAUUGAAAAUUAAAACCCAAUAAAUUAACUUUCUGAUUUUGAAAUAAUGAUCAAGUGAAAGGCAUGAGCUACUAAUAACUUGGCACAUGUUUCAUUCUAUAAUUAUCAUGUCUGGAGGUUCAAUUUUUUCUUCUGAGGUUUGCCCUUUUUGGCUAGAUUAUUCUCACCUUUCACCGUCAAAUUGAAUUUUCAACGUACCAAGGUUUUCUCAAAUCGCUUCAUACAAGAUGCAUGGUAUUUGUUCUGAUUUACCAUAUCAUCUCAGCAUUUGGCAUGGGAUGAUUAGAAACCAGCUUCCUUAAUUUCAAAGACAAAAGAUGAUUAGAGAUCCCCUACAUUAAUAAAGAAAAAAAAAACGCCAACCAAUCGUUCUUGAUUGCCCACACGUUGCUAAAUCUAAUCAUCAGCAUUGGUUCUUGGUUGCCUGCAUAAUUCUCAUCUUUUGAUUUUUCAAUUAAUUACACUGCAAAAGAAUGUUAACGCAAAACUAUUAGUAUAAGUUAUUUGUUUUUUUCCCACCAAAAAAAAAAAGCAGAAUUAUAUAUAGCCCACAUCUCAUAUGGAACAACACGCAAUGCUGUAACGCCGCGAAUGCUGAGCCUUAGCACUCAGCUAUCGAGGGCUGUUAUGAGGUGAGAGGACAGGGAGCAGCAGGCCUUGAAAAAAUGAGCUAAGUUGUGCAAAGAGUGGGCUGGGAACAUUAACAUUACUUUUUGUACGUUUUCUCUUUGAGGUAAUUUUUGGUAAUAACUUUGUCCAGUGCUGAGGGAAACCCCGGUCGAUUUUGCAUUUCUAGUUUGAUAUACUAGGUGGUAGCCACUGCCCAGUUAAUGUUUAGCUAGUAAUGUUGGUAAGAAUGAAAGUACAAUCAAAUGGAACUAUAAAAUGGAACUAUAUUAUACAGGCAUAUUAAUGAAAAUUAUACGAGCCUCCCAAGUAAGAUAACCAUGAUGGCUCAGGGCUCCAUGAAGCCAUUGUUCUAGUCUUUGAAAUACAAAAGUGAAAUACAGACAGAUUCAGCAACAACUCAAGGCAUCAAUCAAGCAGUGAAUCCAGUCCUGUUCAUACAGGAGAAAAUAGAGCAGAGCAAGUAAUGCCUCCAAAGCAAAGAAAAAACUGCAACAAAAGCAAAGCAAGCAAACGCAAAAAUUAUGACAAAACGAAAGCAGACAGCUGUAUUAAUGCACAUAUAGCCUCACGAAAUGUGAAGCUAGGAUUGAGGUUUACAAAAUCGCGGAAAUGUGAAGCUACUUUUUCUAGUUGGAGAACAAGAAUCAUCUACAUCCAAUCUUGAUUGAACUACUGAUGUAUAACUACUUCUUCCCUGUUUACAUAAUGACAUCACAUCACGCAGCAAGAAAAGUAAAUAUUAGAGCACCCUGUGAGACAUUUUCAAAUCUGAAUUACCUUCAAAGGGAACGUCUGUGUAUACAAGUCAACUUUCUGGUCAUCGCCAGAUACUCUAGUAAUCUGCCUCACAAACUUUGUUUCCACAUUAUAUACAAGCUGCAAUUUUGAAUCAAUAAAUGUCAUACAUCUUGACGUGAUGUAGCACAAACUCCCAAAAAAUAAAACAUAAUCAAGUUUUGCUUUAAAGCAUAAUAUGAAACAUAAAUCAAAGUACCUGAACAACAUAUUCAAAUAAAUACAGGGUACACUGGGUAAGCAUGUACCUACCUUCCUUAUAUCAGGAUCAUUCCAAGGACUCAUAUUAGAUGAGAGGCAUCCUCCUUCAACUGGAUAUAAGCAAGCUAACAAAUCAAUUUCAAAUCAAGUAUUAAAUAAUCUGCAAUAAAUGAAAAUUUUCUUACUAAAAAAUUUAGAGACUACAAAAUUACAAGGAUCUCAUGGUAAAAGAAACAUUAAGUAAACAACAGUACAUCAAAAGACUAAACAUACCUAAUUAAGGAGAAAAAGGCUAAACAUAGAACAAACUUAAGUAGCGUUAAAGCUGGUGAGAAUAAUCCAAGCAGCUUCCCUCCUAUCACUACCAGCGAUCAGCUUAACACAAAAUACCUAUUAGAAACACCAUAUCAGUUUUGGAUACUCAAAAUACCCAUAACAAAAAACAAAAAAACAUUGCAAUCAUAGGUUCUGAACCAAGUACAAUCCCUGCAUGCAUAAAAAUCUUUCCUUCUUAUACAGGAUGAUGGCACAUAAACAUUAAGAAAUAAUAUCAUUUUCCAUUGAAUGCCUUCUGCACAGAAUAUUUGAGACAAAUAAAUGGAGCAAGAAGUAAAAAUCUGGAACCCAUACAACAAAUUGAACAAAAGGUGAGAUGGCAAAAAAAAAAAUCAGAGUUAAGAGAUUGGCUAAAUAAACACAGUUUUGGCAGGAACAAAAAGUAAAAACCACAGGUAAGAAGAGGGAGCAGGGAGCGUGGAAAAUAUGGAAAUGAGGGCCACAUAACGCUAACUGUACCUCGAGGAAGUACUGGUGGGGAGCAGGCUGGUGCAGGAGAAGGGACCGAAGCAACAUAUGUGGACUGGUUGAGAACCAAAUCAUUUGUGGCAAGAUUUAACAAGGUUGAAUCCAGGAGGGAACUAUCCACAGGAUCAGCCAAGAGAACGCCAGUCUGGGUAUAACCUAAGGCAGUUCUAGAGAAAUAGUCGUGCUAUUUUGGCUAGGCCUUUGAAACCGAGUUGCCUCAGCAGAACAAGGCACAGUUGUGCCUGUUUUUUUUGAGGCAUUGCGUUCACGGCGGCGACGAAGAAGUUCAACUUUCUGCUCAUGUGGCAUUUCUGCAUACCUUUUAUGCCUUCUAGCAUUUCUAUCCAGCCUUGGAUAACGUGCAUUCAAGAAAUAUUAAAACGGACAGCACGAAGAUAUACGUUUGGUAGGGAAUGCAAAAAAACAUCGGAGGAAACGCAAGAGUUAAAAGUGCAAGCUAAGUGCAGGAAAAGAAAGGAAGCAUACCAUAUGAUCGAACGAGGCAACUGAAAGAGCAAAAGAGGGAGGGAGGGGGGAGAGGCAGGAGAAGCAAAGCUAGCAAUAGCAACAACAGCAGGGCAAAACACACCAGUAUGAUACGAAAGUAAGCAGAAGACAAAUACUUCAAUCAGGAAACGGAACAGGGGGAGAAAAGCAUCUGAGGAGUGCAGAAAAGGAAACACAGUAGUAAGAAGCGCAAGGUUAUGCAGUAAAAGAAAGCAAGCAGAGCAUGUAAUCGAGCGAGGCAACUGAAAGAGUAAAUAUGAAAGCACACCAGCAUGAUAUGAAAGCAAGCAGAAGGCAAAAUACCUUAAGCAGUAAACGGAGGCUAAGAGAGGACACGGUAGAGGAGCGAGCCGAAGUUGGCCUGCAUAAGCAAAAGCGACAUAAAGGUUAAGAAAAUAGCGGAAAGCAGGGAACAUAACAAAAGGGAAGCAAUUAUAAGAAUCACAAACAGCUGCGAAUAAACUGAAAGGAAAGUGACCAAAAAGGAACACACGAGCAGCGCACUAAACGCAGUCCAGGGGGAAAAGAGAACAAAAGCUGGGAACAACACAGUGGCGGCAACAAAAUGCUAGGCAAGAAGGGGGUUUUGUUCAGCGGCAAUCCGAGGACAACCGUAGGCCUGGGAGGGGGUAUUAACGGUAGGGGGGAAAGAUCGAGCCCAAAUAUUGGCAAGCAAAGGGGUGUAAGCAGCAGAGGCAGCCGGGAAUUAUAAUGGACAACAAGGGGAGACAGAGGAAGAGGGAGAGGGAGGGGAAGGGCAGCGGGGCGAGGGUGGGGGGGGAGUGCAAGUAGAGCAACGAAAGAGCAGCGGAGAUAACCUAGUGCAGCAAAGAGGGCAAUGGCAAGGAGCAGCAACAACACCAAAACAGGAACAAAAGGGCAAAUAGCGGUCUUCGAUGAGCAGGCAAGAGGAGAAGCACCAUGGUUCAUGAUGGCAGUCAACUAAUAGGGCAGGUUGGAAGAGGUCAGAGCAGGUGGGAGAAGGCGUGCAAGAUAGCUAAAGGAACAGUUUUGUGUGAGGGGAAAGCAGAAGUGGGUGAAGAAGUAAGUGGGGGAAGAUGGAUGCAGGAUGGAGGCAGGAUGGAGUAGAUGGAGACAGGACUGAGGAGCAGAAAAAUAGUACAAAAUGAAAGACGGGGCAGCGGAGGGGGAAGGCGUACAAGAGUAGAAGGCAAACAGCAAGUUGGUAGUGGGAGCAGCUGGAGCACGUGGCAAGCUCAAGACAGCAACUCCAGAAGGCCACAACAGAGCUAAACAGUGGCAACGAAAAAGGAAGAAGAGAGAUGCAACGACCAUACACGGAAGGAAAGCUAAAGGCCAGAAAUUCAUUCAGACCAAUGACGUCGGGCCACGCGGAGGACGACCACGUCCAACGUGGAUACCGGGCGUUCGCCCUUAGUACUAUAUGGUUAACAAGGAGAUUGAUGUGAGCAUUUGUCUAUUUGAGAUUGUUAUGUAUUAGGUCCUGAAUCUUCUAUGGUUUUGUGCUUUAUCACAUAAUCCUCCAUAGUUUAGAAACCUAUAUAGAACCUCACCAUAAUUUGGGUUAGCGUGUCACUGUUAGUUUUUCGUUAAAAUUAACGGUCAACGGUAAAAAGUUAAAAUCAAACUAAUAAAUUGAUAAAUUCAUGCUUUCACUAAUUUUUUGCUUUUUUUUUCAUUCUCUCUCUCUCUCUCUGUGAGAACCCUCAUUUUUAAAAUACAAUUUUCCCAAACUACAUGCCUUGCACCAAGAUUUAAACCAUCUCUUAUAUGCCCUAGCAUUAUAUUUCACAAUGUGUUACAACAAAUCCCUUGUAUUGACCCUCACUUUAAAACACAAUUUUCUUAUUUACAUGCCUUAUUAUAAGAUCUAGACCAUUUAAUAUAUGUCCUUACAAAUUAUUUUCUAUGUGUUAUAAUAAUUUCCAUGCAUUUCAUUUCAAUUCAUUUUACUUGAAGUAAAAUAUUUCCUUGAGCUAGGUUGUAAAUAAUUCAUCACUUGUAAUUGUCCAAGUGUUCUUUUAUUAGUGGUAGAGACUUUAUGUGAGAGAUUAGAGGUGUUGAAUAAUUAUUGGUGCAUUUGGAAAGGUAAGAAUGGCAUUAAUCAAAGAUUAAGAAAGGUUAGGACAAUAAUGGAGCCAUGUGGCAAAACCCUAGCCAUGUAUCUUGUUUGACCAAAGGAUUAGAGAAAUUUUAAACCAACUUUGCUUCAUUUUCCUCCAAAAUUUCGUCCACCUUAAGGGCUUCCAAGGGAAGGAAGAAAACUCCAUCUUCUUGCUAUGACAACCUUAGUUUGAUCUUGAACAAAAACCAAAAGAGAAAGAUCUAGAGUUUGUGAGAAAAUUUCCUUCAAUCUUUGAGGUUGUUUCAAGUCUAAAGCUUCUAUUGUGGUGGUUUGUUUGGUGACCAAAACAACUUGUAAGUAAGGUAUGUAAUCUUUAAAAUUUGGGUUUAUGAUGUUAUAUCAUCUACUUGAGGUUGAAAUGGUGAAAACAACUUGUUAUGGUUGAAUUUGGGGUUAGUUUCUUGAGUUAAUCAAGUAAUGGUUAGGUUUACUAAUAUGCAUACCAAGUGUUUGAUGAAAUGUCUAACCCUUAUUCAUAUGUGUUUAUGAAGUAUUGAUAUGUUUUAAACCCCUAUUUAGUUGGAUCUAAUACUUGUUAUGUGCAAGGAAUGAAAAUAACAAGAAGAAUAGAAGUUAGAAAUUUUUAAAGUGUGCUGACCGAAACUUUUUAAGCUUGCUGCCUGGUUUUUCCUUGAUAUUUUGAUGCACAUUUUGGCUACAAAUGUGAGUGUUAUAUGUUGGGUUAUGUGUGUGGAGGUUGUCUACAAAAAAUUAGCCAAUUUGGUUGAAUAAAUUUUGAGUUAUAAACAAAGGAGGAAAACUGGACUAGGUCCAGAAAUUUUCUGUCCAGCAAUCUUGUUAAGGUCAUAACGUGUUACUCACUGAUCGGAAUUGAGUGAUGUUUGUGGCAAUUGAAAGUAGACUCUUUGAGCUUUAAAACGGUACAAAGCUCAUUUUCUGGUUCAUCCCGAGUGAUCCGUGGCGAGUCUGGAAAGUUGGCUGUCCGGGCAGUACUGUUCAUCCGAGACAGUCCAGAAAGUUCAUUUUGGUUUCUUAAUUUUGAGCUACUUAUGUUGAGAUUUUGGAAAUGGUUUAUUCUAGACAAAUUUAGCCUUAUGAACCUAGUUUCCAAUGCAAUUGACGGAACCUAAUUCUGACUUUUCCACAAUGAGCAAUGACCGUUUUCCCGAGGCUGGCCGGGCGAGACAGUUUAACCCGUAAUGAAGCCUUUGAGUUUUAGUGAAACUUUUCUUUUGCCAAACUUUCAUGUACAUACUAGACUUUUUUUCCAUGAACUUUCACCGUGGUUUAGACCCUAUUUGCAUGCCGGAUUAAGUAGUUUAAGCUACUCACUUGGCCUCUUAAUGAACCUAUACUUUAGUAGGGAACGAAUCCAAUUAUUAAUAUUUUCACUCGUUGACCUAGGUUUGGGCAACGACGGUGAUCAUAACUGAGACAUUUGACGUCGAUUAUUACUUUUGCUUGACAGGUGAGUGUUCCACUACCUGCUACUUGUUAUGUGAAAUAUUUGUGUACUUGAAAGUAUUGAAUUGUUAUUGUUUGAGCCAAACACUGUUUUAAUUAAAAUUGAGGCGAGUGUGUACUUUAUCGCACUCGACCUUCCUUGUUUUUUUUUUCUUUUCACUGAGGCUCUACUUACUGAAUGAAUUAACAUGAAAUGAGAUAUUGUUAUACAUGACUGUGCUUAAGUUGCGUGGAUGACAUUCCACCAACUACUGUUACUGUUUGGGUACCUAACCUCAUAGGUGAGUCGGUUGUAUCGAGCCAGCAAGGGUUUGGUCGAGAAGGCCGAUAAACCUUGAGGACUGUUUACUGUUCACUGGAAAUCGAAUCUUGCUUAGAGGUCCUUGGUGAAGCAUAGCCGUUGUGCUUGCUUGUUGUGUUGUCCAGCACCACCAGUGAUAAAAUCCUCGGCUUGAUACUGUUUCAUUGCAAUCCUUGAGCAUUGGAAACUCGGAUUCCUGGUAUACUCGAGUAUUACCAAACUACUGUUUAUGGAGUGCAGGCCCGGUGGGGGGUUGUUUAGUGGACGGAGACUGGUGAAAGUGGUGUUCUACGGACCUAUAUACUGUUACAAGUGUUGACGGAGUGUCAACAGGAGGCAAUUAUGAUCAAGCUCAAGUGGACCUUUGGCUUUUGAAAGCCACCCGUAUCCUUGAAUUGAACUGUGAUUAAACUGUUAUUUUAUUGUACGGUGUUUAGUUGGCUAUUUUGUGAUUUUAUGUGGCUAUGUAUUUACUUGUUUACCUGGAAUCUCACUGGGAUUUAACUCACCCCAUUCCCUUUGUUUUCCUUAACAGAUCGGGAAAGGAUUUGAUCGAGGGCUUUCUUAGCUUUAUUUUACCGUUCUUGCGUUUUGAGGUUGUAACUUUCGUUUAAGCAGACUUGUAAGCUUAAAUUCUUAAGGGUGAUUUAUAUUAUGUAAUUUUGAGUGAAACAUGGUAAGUUGGCAUGCGAUGAUAUAUGUACUAAGUUGAAUUGUUGAAUUAGUGAUUAUGUUUGAGUUAGUGUUUCAAUCCCCUGCAUUGUCAAAUGUUACAUUCGUUUCAUUGAUGAUAUUAGUACUUUGAACGACUGAGUCCUGUCGAGAGUUGGGCAGGCAGUCCGCUGAUACCCUAGGGUUUGCCCUAGGGAAAGGUGGGGCUGUCACUCUCUCUCUCUCUCUGGGAAGAGAAGAUGUGAUUUUGAAAACCUAUGCUUUGGCGUACAAAAUCUUAAUUUUCUCCAAAUAUAAAAGAGAUGGAAGAAAAUAAAAAAUAAAUAAAUAAGAAACAAAAAGAAUGGAAGGGAAAUAUAAAAAGGGUAAAUGAGAAACAAAAAUUAUCAAAUCUUUUUUUACUACAAAUAUCAUUAUAGGUUUCUAAACCAAAUCUUUAAUGGCAUUUUCUAUUUCUUAUUUAUCUAUUUUUUUAUUUAAAUUUCUUCAAGUAAUGAAAAGAUAAAUUUGUCAAUUUAUUAGUUUGAUUUUGACCUUUUGCUAUUGAUCGUUAGUUUUAAUGAAAAAAAUUAAAGGUGACACUUUAACUCAAACCAUGAGGGGAUUAUAUAUAUGUUUUUAAACUAUAGAGAGAUUAUGUGAUAAAUUACCUAAUCAUAGGGGAUAAAAUGUAAUUUAUCAAACAUAAUAUUAGCUAGCCCUUACAUUGCUAAAGCAAAUGGGUCAAUGGUUGCUCUUGAUUGCCAACAUACAUAUGCGUAGAUCAUCUGCAGUUUGGUUCCUAAUUGCCAGCGUAAACCACAUAUUUUGAUUUUCCAAUAAAUACUGCAAAAAAAAAAAGAGUAACGAGUCCAUCUAUACUACUUGAAGAUAAUUGAUUGUUCACCCAGAUUCGUCAAGUUUUGAAAAAAAAAUCUUUAGAGUGAAUUGAAUCAAAUUCAAAUUUUGUGUUUUGUGAUAAUUCCUAAAAGAGAACGAAAUGCAGAUUUUGAGUGUAAAAAUAUUUUAAGAGGUGAUACAAUCAAGACACAAAAAGAUAAAAACAUCGAAGAUGAUGAAAAAAAUUACUAAUAAAAAAUAAAAACAAAAGAAGAGAAAGCCGUGUUGUCCACAAACUAGACAAAGGGAAGCCACAGCGGCUGCUGCUAGGAAAGAUUAUAUGUUUUCUUCUUCUCUGCCCACAGGUUGCGGUGUCUCCAUUUCCUAUCAUCUGUAUAGUAACCAAUGAGAAUUUCAGGAAUGUGUGCGAUUCUUCUGUAAUCUUCACUUUCUUCCUUCUGAUUCUCUAACAGCUUCUCUCUCAAUUGAGAACUCAUCUCAUACAGAGACAGCCGUUGAAGAUGGAUCAAGUGCUGGAUACCCAAUGGUAACUCCUCUAGUAAUGGAAGUUGCUGCAGAAAUAGUUCCCGGAGACGAGGCAAUGCACCCUCCUCCACUCUCAUCCAUCUCAACCCUUCCAUUCUUUUUAAGUACAUCCACUUCAGCUUUAGGAACCCUCCAGCCUUGAAACACAACCCUUCUCCCUGGUAAGAUCCACGGAAAUUAAUUUUACUCAAAUUGGGCAAAUGUUGGAGGGAUUCAAGCGGAUCCUCCUCUCCCCUUAACCUGCUCCAGUCCAAAUCUAUUCUUACCAAGCCGUGAAGAUGAGCUACCCAUUGUGGCAUUUUUUCUAAGCGGCCACGCAAAACCAGCAUACGAAGAAAUUGAAGAAACAAAGAAGAAGAAGAAGAAGAAGGAUGAUGAUGAUUUAAAUCGAUUAUCUCAUGAUCAUCACCUUUUCCAAUUGAUUGAACACUUAAUUCCCGAAGACUGGUGAGGUUGGCAAGGGAGGAGCAGAGCACCUUUCCAUCUUCUCUUCUUAACUUUGUAAUACGUAGUUCUCUUAAUUGGGUCAGCUUUCCUAUCUCCUUAAGUAUUGCAGAUCCGCUACUUGCAUCUAUGCAGCUUAAUUUAUGUAGGGCAAGAAGCCGUCCCAUAUUUGAUGGAGCUUUAAAUCCAUGAGCUCCAUAAUCAUCAUCUGAAGAAUCAACUAGUUGAUAUACUUCGAGAAACCGAAGUUUUUGCAAGUUUAGAAUUUCCAUGGGCAAUUCCCUAACUCCAGUGUUACCCAAAUUCAGAUACUCCAAAUGUUGAAGCUUUCCAAUGGCUUUCGGGACUAUCUCCAUUCUUGUACCCCAUAGGUCCAGAUGCUUGAGAUGAAACAAAUUGAAAAUCUCAUUUGGUAUUUCCUCCACUCUGUUUUGACCACCGAAAUCCAAAACCUUUAACAGCUUACUACUCCUUGAAAUUUCAGAUAACAACAUUUUGGAUAGUAGCGGGUUCCGGGAUCCAACUGUAACGAACGACCGAAGGUGGUCAAAGCAAUAAUUUCGUCUUUGUUGGUGGUGCUGGGUGUUGUUACUGCUACCACUAUGGACUACUAGACGGCGUACCUUAUCAGACGGCCACGUCAUCAGCUGUCCAGUAGUAACUGUCACCAUGUUUUGUUCCCUUGACUUGAGAAGAAUAACUGCUCUCAAUAGGUCAUGGAUUCGACAAUAUUGAGGUAUUCCUUCAUAAAACACACGAGUCACUUGAAUUAGGCUUCUAUUGACGAGUUCACUAAAAUAACCCCAGGCUACAUCUUCAAUACUUAUUCCUUCUCUCCAUUCUACAUACCUUUCAGCAAUCCACAAAUUAAUUAGUCUAAUGCAUGCUAUUUCAUAAUCCUCUGGGAAGAUGCUUGUGUACAACAGACAUGUCUUUAAAUGCCCAGGCAAAUCAUUAUAACUGAGAGAAAGUAUCCUUUUAACUCUGUCCAGCUUACCAGUGCCUUCUAAUUCACCCCCAAGACUGCGUCGAACCAUCUCCCAUUCCUCUGUUCUGUUUACAUCUUUCAAAGCCAAAAGCCCGCUGAUUGCAAGAAUCGCAAGGGGCAAGCCCUCACAUUUGUCCAAUAUACCUUUGGCAACAUCCAUCAAGUGGCCAGGGCAACUAUUUCCCUUGAAGAUCUUGUUACAAAACAGGAUCCACGAAUUUUCAAAGGACAGUGGCUUCAUUCUGUAGACAAGACCCCGAGAUUCAAUGCAAGAGGCAGAGGCUACAUCAACUUUUCGAGUUGUUAGCAUGACGCGGCUGCCGCGACUGCUCUCUGGCAUUACAAAUUUGAUGGUAUUCCAAAAUUCCACGUCCCAUACAUCAUCGAAAACAAUUGCAUACCUUCCAGCUUGUUGAAGAAAAUCUUUGAUAAUUUCUUUCAGCUGAGUGGUAGUCAUGGACUCGAUCCAUCGCGGAACUGGUUUCUUCCCUGCCUCGUGUAACUGCCGAAUCAAGUCUUUCAGGAGGAACUGAAAGUCACAUGUUUCAGAGACAGUUACCCAAGCCCGGACUGGGAAAUGCCUUCUGACUUCAGGAUCCUCAUGGACUUUUUUCACUAGGGUAGUUUUGCCAAGUCCUCCCAUACCAACC
rnacentral:lncRNA from 1 species